rnacentral:lncRNA from 1 species
CCGCCAGCUCUAGCGGUACUACCGCUAGGGGACCUUUUUGCAAGAGGAGAAGGAACAGAGAGGGGAAAAGCUCCAAAGUUGCAGGAAAAAGGGGAUGGAGAAAGUGUGUGCGUGCAAGAUUGAUUCCACCCAAACCUUCCCAAUAUGGGUCCCCUCUUAAUAGUACGACGUUCCUACGACUCAAAAACCACCAAAGAGAAUCGUAGAAGACACCGUGCUUCUUUUCCACGGAGGGUGCCGAAUCGUCUUGUGCCUUUGUCAUGUAUUAUCUAAAAUGCUCAAUGCACACAAUUAGUCCAUUAAGGUACUGUCAUCAAUCACCAAAAUCACUUAGGAAUAAAUAUGCCCUAACACUAUGAACGUAGCAUGUGAUCAUGUAAUUCAUUGCUACUGUUUUCUGCAUAUAAAUUAUACAUUCCUAUGACCAUGAGAUCAUGUAACUCACUCACAUUGGAAGAAUACCUUGUGUGUAUCAAACGUCGCAAUGUAACUGGGUGACUAUAAAGGUGCUCUAUAGGUAUCUCCGAAGGUGUCCGUUGAGUUAGCAUGGAUCAAGACUGGGAUUUGUCACUUUGUAUGACGGAGAGGUAUCUCGGGGCCCACUCGGUAAUACAACAUCUCAACAAGCCUAGCAAGUAUUGUGACUAUGGAGUUAGUCAUGGGAUCUUGUAUUACGAAACGAGUAAAGAGACUUUCCGGUAACGAGAUUGAAAUAGGUAUGGAGAUACCGACGAUCGAACCUGUGGAAAGUAUCAUACCGAAGGACAAAGGGAAUGUUAUAUGAGAUUAACAGAAUCCUUGAGAUAGAGGUUCAACCGAUAAAGAUCUUCGUAGAAUAUGUAGGAUCUAAUAUGGGCAUCCAGGUCCCGCUAUUGGAUAUUGAACGGAGGGUGUCUCGGUCAUGUCUAGAUAGUUCUCGAACCAGCUGGGUCUGCACACUUAAGGUUCGAUGAUGUUUCAGUAUAGUUGAAUUAUUGAUGUUGGCAACCGAAUGUUGUUUGGAGUCCCGGAUGAGAUCCCGGACUUCACGAGGGUUUCCGGAAUGGUCCGUAGACUAAUAUUGAUAUAUAGGAUGUAUCCAUUUGGCUUCCGGAAGGUUUUCGGGCAUUACCGGUGAAGUACCGGAAGUGAAGAAUGGGUUCCGGAGUUCCACCGGGAGGGGCCACCCACCCGGGAGAGAACCAAAGAGGCCCAAGGGUGGCACACCAGCCCCUAGUGGGCUGGUGGCCAGCCCAAAGAGGCCUAUUUUGGCCAAGGGAGAAAAGGAAAGGGGGUGGGCCAAACCAAAUUGGGAAAGGAGGACUUCUCCUUCCAAGUUGUAUUGGAGGAGGACUCCUCCUCCUCCUCUUGCGUCAGCCGAACCCUAGGGAUUUGCCCUAGGGCACCACCACUCCCCUCCCUCCUAUAUAUAUAAUGGAGGUGAGAGAGGCUUUUGGCACCUCAAACCAUAGCGCAGCCCUCUCUCCCUCCACCACUUCGUGACACCUUAUAGCUAGAUCGAUACGGUACGGUGAAUCCCUGUCGGCAUAGCUCCGCCACUAUCACCGCCAUGCCGUCAUGCUACCGCAGAAUUCAGCUACCUCUUCGUCUCUCUUGCNNNNNNNNNNNNNNNNNNNNNNNNNNNNNNNNNNNNNNNNNNNNNNNNNNNNNNNNNNNNNNNNNNNNNNNNNNNNNNNNNNNNNNNNNNNNNNNNNNNNGCCGAGUCAAUGUGACCAUCUCCUCCUUUUUGUCUCACAACCACCACCACACUCUAUUCCCAUAUAGUGCUAUAUCCAUGGCUCGCGCUCAUGUAUUGCGUGAUAGUUAUAAAAAGUUUGAGAAAGUAAGAGUGCGAAAACAAUUACUUGGCCAAUACCGGGGUUGUGCAUGAUUUACAUUAGUUGUGUGAGGAUGAUGGAGCAUGGCCAGACUAUAUGAUUUUGUAGGGAUAACUUUCUUUGGCCUUUUUAUUUUGAAAGUUCAUGAUUACCUUGCUAGUUUGCUUGAAGUAUUAUUGUUUUCAUGUCAAUAGCAAACUAUUGUUUUGAAUCUUACGGAUCUGAACAUUCAUGUCACAUGAAAGAAGUUGCAAAGGACAACUAUGCUAGGUAGCAUUCAACAUCAAAAAUUCAGUCUUUAUCACUUCCCUACUCGACGACGAGCAGGAGUUAAACUUGGGGAUGCUUGAUACGUCUCCAACGUAUCUAUAAUUUUUGAUGGUUCCAUGCUAUUAUCUUGUCAAACUUUGGAUGCUUUGUAUGCCUUUUAUAUCUUUUGUGGGACUAACUUAUUAACUCAGUGCAAAGUGCCACUUCCUGUUUUUUCCGUGUUUUUGACCCUUUUCAAAGGAAGAUUUGAAACGGAGUCCAAACGGAAUAAAAUCCCCGAAAUUAUUUUUUCUGAAACAAAAGAAGAUCGGGAGACGUGAGAACCAAGGCAGGGGUCCCCAGGGACCCCACAAGCCCUGUAGCCCCGGCCAGGGGGGGAGGUUGGGGCUCAGAGGCUUGUGGGCCCCCUGGAACUCCUCUGCCCUAGGUUUCGCGCCUAUAUAUUCCCUAAAAUCCCAGAAAAAAUCAGGAGAUCAUCGAAAAUACUUUUCCGCUGCCGCAAGCUUCUGUCUCCCCAAGAUCCCAUCUGGGGCAUGUUCUGGUGCCCUGCCGGAGGGGGAUUCGGAUACGGAGGGCUUCUUCAUCAACACCAUGACCUCUCCGAUGAUGCAUGAGUAGUUCACCAUAGACCUAAGGGUCCAUAGCUAGUAGCUAUAUGGCUUCUUCUCUCUCUUGGAUCUUCAAUACAAAGUUCUCCAUGAUCUUCAUGGAGAUCUAUCCGAUGUAAUCUUCUUUUGUGGUGUGUUUGUCAAGAUCCGAUGAAUUGUGGAUUUAUGAUCAGAUUAUCUAUGAAUCUUAUUUGAGUUUCUUCUGAUCUCUCUUAUGCAUGAUUUCAUAUCCUUGUAAUUCUAUUCGAGUUGUGGGUUUUGUUUGGCCAACUAGGUCUAUGAUUCUUGCAAUGGGAGAAGUGCUUGGUUUUGUGUUCAUUCCAUGCGGUGAUCUCACCCAGUGACAAAAGGGGAAGCGAGGCACGCAUCGUGUUGUUCCGACCAAGGGUAAAAGGAUGGGAUUUUCAUCAUUGGUUUGAGAUUAUCCCUCUACAUCAUGUCAUCUUGCUUAAGGCGUUACUCUGUUCGUCAUGAACUCAAUACACUAGAUGCAUGCUGGAUAGCGGUCGAUGUGUGGAGUAAUAGUAGUAGAUGCAGAAAGUAUCGGUCUACUUGUCUCGGACGUGAUGCCUAUAUGUAUGAUCAUUGCCUUAGAUAUCGUCAUGACUUUGCGCGGUUCUAUCAAUUGAUCAACAGUAAUUUGUUCACCCACCGUAAUACUUGCUAUUUUGAGAGAAGCCUCUAGUGAACACUAUGGCCCCCGGGUCUAAUCCACACCAUAUUUUCAGCCUUACACUUUCACUUCGUUGCACUUUCCGCCUUCAGAUCUCACUUUGCAAUAAUCUUGAAGGGAUUGGCAACNNNNNNNNNNNNNNNNNNNNNNNNNNNNNNNNNNNNNNNNNNNNNNNNNNNNNNNNNNNNNNNNNNNNNNNNNNNNNNNNNNNNNNNNNNNNNNNNNNNNUUAGCUUGUGCUUACGGGUGUCGUCCAUAGCACGANNNNNNNNNNNNNNNNNNNNNNNNNNNNNNNNNNNNNNNNNNNNNNNNNNNNNNNNNNNNNNNNNNNNNNNNNNNNNNNNNNNNNNNNNNNNNNNNNNNNNNNNNNNNNNNNNNNNNNNNNNNNNNNNACCAACAUAAGGGCCUUAUUAACCAGAUCGCUGAAGGUCCGACAUUCACAAACAACCAGCUGAUACUGGAGUGACUGCUGCAGUCCUUCCAUAAAGCGUUCCACUUUGGCGGUCUGAGUGUUGACAUCUUCUGGUGCAUAUCUUGACAGGAGGUUAAACUUCUGCAAAUACUCCUUGAUGGAUCCACUGCCUUACCUUAAGGCUCAGAAUUCCCACUUCUUAAUGGUCAUCAUUUCUGGAGGAAUGUGAGCAGUGCGGAAUCCAUCUUUGAACACAACCCACGUGAUGACUUGCCCUGCUCGCAUGAUCUGAAAUCCAUCCCACCAAGCUCUGGNNNNNNNNNNNNNNNNNNNNNNNNNNNNNNNNNNNNNNNNNNNNNNNNNNNNNNNNNNNNNNNNNNNNNNNNNNNNNNNNNNNNNNNNNNNNNNNNNNNNNNNNNNNUCCCACCAAGCUCUGGUUGUGCCUCCGAGACAGUAAUAAGCAUAGAGGACUUUCUCACGAUCAUCAGUGCAUUUGACCAGUGUGAGGAGGUCUUCAAUAGUACGGAUCCAGUCAUCGGCAUCCAAUGGUUCAGUCAUCUCCGUGAAUAUGGAUGGCGUAGUUCGCAUGAACUCAGAGAGAGUAGAGUGACCAUUGUCAUUCCCGUUCUGCGGCGGGUUGUUUACCAAGGCUUGAGCCAGCUGCUGAAUAGCGGCGUUAUUGGCUUGACGUUCCUCUUGGAGAGCUUGAAGGAACUGAUCCAUAAUCAAGCUUUCAGGAGGAGGUGGUGGCGGUGGAACAUCGUCUUGCUGCUCGUGGUGAUCUCCAGCUUGNNNNNNNNNNNNNNNNNNNNNNNNNNNNNNNNNNNNNNNNNNNNNNNNNNNNNNNNNNNNNNNNNNNNNNNNNNNNNNNNNNNNNNNNNNNNNNNNNNNNCUCCGGAGCGCCGUCACGCUGCCGGAGAACUCUUCUACCUCUCCGUCUCUCUUGCUGGAUCAAGAAGGCCGAGAUCAUCGUCGAGCUGUACGUGUGUUGAACGCGGAGGUGCCGUCCGUUCGGUACUAGAUCGUGGGACUGAUCGCGGGAUUGUUCGCGGGGCGGAUCGAGGGACGUGAGGACGUUCCACUACAUCAACCGCAUUCUCUAACGCUUCUGCUGUACGAUCUACAAGGGUACGUAGAUCACUCAUCCCCUCUCGUAGAUGGACAUCACCAUGAUAGGUCUUCGUGCGCGUAGGAAAUUUUUUGUUUCCCAUGCGACGUUCCCCAACAGUGGCAUCAUGAGCUAGGUUCAUGCGUAGAUGUCUUCUCGAGUAGAACACAAAAGGUUUUGUGGGCGGUGAUGUGCGUUUUGCUGCCCUCCUUAGUCUUUUCUUGAUUCCGCGGUAUUGUUGGAUUGAAGCGGCUUGGACCGACAUUACUCGUACGCUUACGAGAGACUGGUUUCAUCGUUACGAGUAACCCCCAUUUGCUCAAAAGAUGACUGGCAAGUGACGGUUUCUCCAACUUUAGUUGAAUCGGAUUUGACCGAGGAGGUCCUUGGAUGAGGUUAAAUAGCAACUCAUAUAUCUCCGUUGUGGUGUUUGCGUAAGUAAGAUGCGAUCCUACUAGAUACCCUUGGUCACCACGUAAAACAUGCAAGAACAAAAUUAGAGGACGUCUAACUUGUUUUUGCAGGGUAUGAUUGUGAUGUGAUAUGGCCAAUGAUGUGAUGUGAUAUAUUGGAUGUAUGAGAUGAUCAUGUUGUAAUAGAAAUAUCGACUUGCACGUCGAUGGUACGGCAACCGGCAGGAGCCAUAGGGUUGUCUUUAUACUAACAUAUGUGCUUGCAGAUGCGUUUACUAUUUUGCUAGGAUGUAGCUUUAGUAGUGAUAGCAUAAGUAGCACGACAACCCCGAUGGCGACACGUUGAUGGAUAUCAUGAUGAUGGAGAUCAUGGUGUGGCGCCGGUGACAAGAAGAUCGUGCCGGUGCUUUGGUGAUGGAGAUCAAGAAGCACGUGACGAUGGCCAUAUCAUGUCACUUAUGAAUUGCAUGUGAUGUUAAUCCUUUUAUGCACCUUAUUUUGCUUAGAACGACGGUAGCAUUAUGAGGUGAUCUCUCACUAAAAUUUCAAGACGAAAUUGUGUUCUCCCCGACUGUGCACCGUUGCUACAGUUCGUCGUUUCGAGACACCACGUGAUGAUCGGGUGUGAUAGACUCAACGUUCACAUACAACGGGUGCAAAACAGUUGCGCACGCGGAACACUCGGGUUAAGCUUGACGAGCCUAGCAUGUGCAGACAUGGCCUCGGAACACAUGAGACCGAAAGGUCGAUCAUGAAUCAUAUAGAUGAUAUGAUUAGCAUAGGGAUGCUUACCACUAAAACUACUCCCGACUCACGUGAUGAUCGGACUUGGGAUAGUGUAGGUGGAUCAUGAACCACUCAAAUGACUAGAGAGAUGUACUUUUUGAGUGGGAGUUUAGCAUGUAAUUUGAUUAAGUUGAACUCUAAUUAUCUUGAACAUAGUCUAAGUCCACUUUGAAUAUAUUUGUGUUGUAGAUCAUGGCUCACGCAAGUGUCAUCCUCAAUUUUAAUACGUUCCUAGAGAAAGCUAAGUUGAAAGACGAUGGAAGCAAUUUUGUAGACUGGGCUCGUAAUCUUAAGCUAAUCUUACAAGCUGGAAAGAAGGAUUAUGUCCUUAAUGCUGCGCUAGGAGAUGAACCACCCGCUACAGCUGAUCAGGAUGUUAAGAACGCUUGGUUAGCGCGUAAGGAGGACUACUCAAUAGUUCAAUGUGCAGUCUUGUAUGGCUUAGAACCGGGACUUCAACGUCGCUUUGAGCGUCAUGGAGCAUUUGAGAUGUUCCAGGAGUUGAAGUUCAUCUUUCAGAAGAACGCCCGGAUCGAGAGGUAUGAGACCUCCGAUAAAUUCUAUGCUUGCAAGAUGGAGGAAAACUCGUCUGUCAGUGAACAUGUGCUCAAAAUGUCUGGGUACUCAAACCGUCUAGCUGAACUGGGGAUUGAACUCCCGCAAGAAGCUAUCACUGACAGAAUCCUUCAAUCACUGCCGCCAAGCUAUAAAGGCUUUGUGUUGAACUACAACAUGCAAGGGAUGAACAAGUCUCCCGGCGAGUUGUUUGCGAUGCUGAAAGUCGCAGAGUCUGAACUCCGUAAAGAACAUCAAGUGUUGAUGGUGAGCAAGACCACUAGUUUCAAGAGAAACGGCAAAGGCAAGAAGGGCAAUUCGAAGAAGAGCGGCAAGCCUGUUGCCAAUCCGCCGAAGAAACCCAAGGCUGGACCUAAGCCUGAAACAGAGUGCUUCUAUUGCAAGGGUAUGGGUCACUGGAAGCGCAAUUGCCCCAAGUAUCUGGCAGAUAAGAAGGCGGGCAAAGAAAAAUCAGGUAUAUUUGAUAUACAUGUUAUUGAUGUGUACUUAACCAGCUCUCGUAGUAGUGCCUGGGUAUUCGAUACCGGUUCUGUUGCUCACAUUUGCAACUCGAAGCAGGAACUGCGGAAUAGACGGAGGCUGGCGAAAGACGAAGUGACGAUGCGCGUAGGAAACGGUUCCAAGGUUGAUGCAAUCGCCGUCGGCACCGUGUCACUUCAACUACCAUCGGGAUUAGUGAUGAACUUAAAUCAUUGUUAUUUAGUGCCUGCGUUGAGCAUGAACAUUAUAUCUGGAUCUUGUUUAUUGCGAGACGGUUACUCUUUUAAGUCUGAGAAUAAUGGUUGUUCUAUUUCUAUGAGUAACAUCUUUUAUGGUCAUGCACCGAAUGUGAGAGGAUUGUUCAUAUUGAAUCUCGAUAGCGAUACGCAUAUACAUAACAUUGAGACCAAAAGAGUUAGAGUAAACAAUGAUAGCGCCAUAUUUUUGUGGCACUGCCGCUUGGGUCAUAUUGGUGUAAAGCGCAUGAAGAAACUCCAUGCUGAUGGACUUUUGGAGUCACUUGACUUUGAUUCACUUGACACUUGCGAACCAUGCCUCAUGGGCAAGAUGACUAAAACUCCGUUCUCCGGAACAAUGGAGCGUGCAAGUGACUUAUUGGAAAUCAUACAUACCGAUGUGUGUGGUCCGAUGAGCGUGGAGGCAUGCGGCGGAUAUCGUUAUUUUCUCACCUUCACUGAUGAUUUGAGUAGAUAUGGUUAUGUCUACUUAAUGAAGCACAAGUCUGAAACAUUUGAAAAGUUCAAGCAAUUUCAGAGUGAAGUAGAAAAUCAUCGUAACAAGAAGAUCAAGUUCCUACGGUCUGAUCGUGGGGGUGAAUAUCUGAGUUUCGAGUUUGGUGCUCACUUAAGACAAUGUGGAAUUGUUUCGCAGUUAACACNNNNNNNNNNNNNNNNNNNNNNNNNNNNNNNNNNNNNNNNNNNNNNNNNNNNNNNNNNNNNNNNNNNNNNNNNNNNNNNNNNNNNNNNNNNNNNNNNNNNGAAUUCGUAAUCAUAUGUGUCUGGGUUAAUGUGAGGUUCAUAAUCCUCUUCAUUGGGGGUAGGUGUUCUAGCAUGUGGGGACACUUCAUAAACAACAUCCCAACCAUUCAGAUUCUCAUCAGUUUGGCACGCCCACUGUAGGUAGAAAACUUGUGUCGCCUGUUGAGCCGUAAUAUAGACAUCAGGCACAUCUAAAUGGGUCAUUCUAGUCUCCUUCAUGUGGAACCAAUAACAUUUGAAGACUACGACGUUCGGUGGGUUUUGACCAUAGCAUUGAAGUUCAUAAAUUGCUUCAACUCUUCCAUAAUACCCGGUACAUCUUUCGCCGAUAGCAGAGACACCACAAUUUAUAGAUUUCCGGUCGGGCAUAGAUAGCACUUUACCAAAGGUACGAAAGUGAUACUCGUUGAUGUUUUUUUUCCUCAAAUGAAUGGACCUUAUAGUCAAAACCAUUAGCAACUUGUCUCAAUUCGGCGUCCAUAGACUCUGAAUUAGCCUACAAGUUUAAUACUAAAGGAUUGUUGCAUUAGCCACAAAUUAGACCAAGAAAUGAAAUGGUCCAUUAUUGAUAAUUACCAUUUGUCUAAACCAAGAGAUGAAACCGGGAUAGCCACCUCCAUGCUUUGCCAGAAGCUCAUACUCUUCGACGGAAUCCUUUUGGAUCACCACUCCAUUUGAGAAUUGGGUGAUGUAUCGACUGUAUGAGAUAUCCGGGAAUAAGAGGAGUUCAAAGGAAUUAGAAGUUGUAGAAAAAUGUAUCGAGAAAUUUCUCGAUGUACGGCCACACUUCCGUUACUUUGUUGAAGAUAUACAAUGAAAUGGUCCACCAUUCUUCGACAACCAACGUUACUGGUUUCAAAGCACCAGCUGGUGCGAGCUUCCCUUUGAAUAGACUGAGGUUAGAUCCACCUUUUUAGGCUCGCCAUAAUUGUACCAAGGCUUCGUAUUAUGCAAACGAUUUCUGGCUUCGUAGUGUGUUGUCACGAAGUUUGCCACCUCCCUAGUAAUGAAUGCCUCGGCCAUCGAUGCUUCAAUUCUAUGUUUAUUUUAACAUUUUGCUCAAAGAGUCUUCUGCAUCCUCUCAGUUGCAAAGCACCAACGAUUUUGCACGGACCACCCAAUGUUGCCUCGGUCGGGAGAUGUAAAAUCAAAUGCUGCAUUGAAUUAAAGAAGCCUGGUGGAAAGAUCUUCUCUAACUUGCAGAGCAACUCUGGCGCUAACUCCUCCAUGUCAUCUACCAUGCCAGGUGAUAACCCACAAGUGUAGGGGAUCGUUUGUAGCCUUUUUUGAUAAGUAAGAGUGUCAAACCCAACGUGGAGCUAAAGGUAGAAUUAAUAUUCUCUCAAGUUCUAUCGACCACUUAUACAACUCUAUGCGCGCAAACACUUACUUUACCUGGAACAAGUAUGAAACUAUUUUGCGGAAAAAUAAAGAGCAAGUAAAUAAAUGUUAGGGAAUAUUUAGUAGAAAGCUUUUUGUGUAACUCAAGAGAAAGAUUGUCCAUAGGAAAUUGAAUAUAACAUGAUAAAUACUUAUUAUGUGCAAUGAGGGAGAGGCAUACAGUAACAUACUUUCCGUACUUGGAUCAUAUGCACUUACGAUUGGACCUCUAGCAAGCAUCCACAACUACUAGAAAUCAUUAAGGUAAACCCAACCAUAGCAUUAAACAUCAAGUCCUCUUUACUCCCAUACGCGCACAACUCCCUUACUCGGGUGUAAGUUUCUCUCACUCUUGCCACUCACUAUAAGCGAAUCAUGAACAUAUUGCAAACCCUCUAGCGUGUAUCCUUCAUGUGUGCACCUCACGGAAGGUGAUGAGGAUAUCAACACCAUCCUUACACCCACAACCCGAGCUGCUAUACAUACUGGACCAGUUACUAGAGCUCGCGCACGCCAAUUGAAUUAUCAGGUACUUUCAUUUCUUGGAAAUACUUCUAAUGUUCAUGAACAUAUGAUGCUGCCUAAGUUAGAUACUUUUGUUGUACUUAUGAAUGAAGGACCUUGCAUGGACAACAAGCAUAUCCGUUGGAGCGGGAUCAAGCAUGGAGAGGAAGGUGCACAUGCGGGAGAGAACAAUGGAGCUGCCACUGGUGAUUUUUGUACUUUAAAGCCACCAUAAGGAGAGCCAGGCCUGGCCCUGAGGGGGGGGAGCGGGGCGGCCGCCCCGAGCCCCCAUCCCAGUCCUAGCCUCCCAAAUAUGUAUGAGGAACCACUGGAGUCACCAUUAGAAGACCUGAAGCUUUUCUGCAUCUGCAUAAGGAAGAUCAAAGCCGAACCGUUUUUCUCUGUUUAGCGAACUGGGCCGUGGGUCUUUUCUCCUUAUCGAUGGUUAAGUGGUUGUUGGGCUAAACUGUUGUAGCAACGCGCGUAGUGUGGUGGCGUCAGGAGGGGCAUGCACGACCUAUAUAACUGGCUGAUGAUUUCAGUGAGUUUUUUGAACCUCUAAUUAUGUCUGAAAGGUUAAUUCCCAUUUGGCUAUAAUGAAGCAGAGAAGACCCAGUGAAUACACUUGACUUUGCUACUUUGUACACUACCAAUUUAUAGUACAUGUUUUGACUCAAAAAAUAAAUCAAUAGUAUUCUACUUGUUAUGCUGAUUAUAUGUUUUCUGAAGCUUUGAUUAUAUAUUUUAUGUCACAUAAAUUUCUCUUCUUGCUAUCAGUUCCACAUACAAUGUUUUUAUUUAGUCUUCCACUAUAACACCCGAUGACAUUGGGUUCACUGGAUAAUAAAGACAAUCUGGCUUGAUAUCCUAUGGAUCACACCUUUUUUUAUCAGAGUACAAUCGAACUUGCUCACAUACACGAGCAUACACUCACUCUUAUGAACGCACAAGCUCACACCCCAUUCCUAUGAGAACCUCUAAAAGAUUGAGCCGACACAUCAUCUUGAGAUUCACAAAGUCCAGAAAAAUGCAAGCUUAAGUCUCAGACUUGAACUCUAAUGAAUAGGAGAUACCACUGUCCUCCUCACCAUUCAAUCACAGUUAGGUUUUUUCUAUGGAUCACAACCAUGACUGGAUGUAUGUGAUCAAUGUUUGUUAUCUUGUGCAUCUUUACCCGAAACACUCACUGACCUCCCUCCGCACAACCACAUCGAGAGGAGACCACAUCGUUCAAAGAAGUAUAUUUAUAAUUAUUUUUAUUUGCACCAACGUUACUAAGUUUAUAUAAAAAAUGAGGGUCUGGUAUUCUAGUUUUGCCCCGGGCCCCCAAAAUCUCUGGGCCGGCCCUAAGGAGAGUAUGAAGGCUUUGGACGAAAUAUUCAAGAUGCCACUUUAUAAAUUUCAUCCAUAUGCUAUUAUAGGUGUUGCACCACCUUAUUUUUGGGAUAGGUGUCGGUGCAGUAAAGACAGGGGUCUCUAGUGCCACAGACUUGUGCACGGGCGCAAAGAGCCCCUCACGUGAGGGCACUAUGGAAUCCAGACAAGACUCGCCCCAAAGGCAUCCAAGGCCCUGGCAAGCCUGUCUUGCCGGGAAGACACCCAAGUCCACGUCCGCCCGAUGGACGUGAUGACCACACCUAGCACAAGGCCCCAGCGAUCCCCCCUCGCCGGGAAGACAGCCGAAGCCCCCGACAAGCUUCCUUACUGGGAUGAAGCACCAAGUCCUCGACAAACACCCUUGCCAGGAUGACGUGGCAGCGCACCAGAGGGCGACCGCCCUUGCCACAGUACCACCGCUCCCCCGUGUUCCAGCGCAUUCCGCAUGCGCCAGCGGGGAGUCCAAGUGUUGAAAUACCUGGACACAUGUCUUCACCAGCAAUUAGCUGACAUGAAGAAGACGUGCAUUUAAUGCACCUCACAGCGGUAGAUGGAUAAGCGCAGUUGUAGGUUUACUGUAACAUGUCAUGAACCUACCAUUGAGCACUGUAGGUGACCCCUUUGCCUAUAAAAGGAGGCCCUUAGCUCAUUCACAAGGGGUUAGACUUUUGGGAGAUUGGCCAAGAAGAGGAUUAUCAUCACUGUAAACGAACAACAAAAGAACGUUUAACGCAAUCAGAUGAGCAUGACGUAGGGUUUUACGCGUAAGCGGCCCGAACCUCGGUAAAAAGGUUUGCAGGGUGUCGAUCGUUUGGUCUGCUCUUACGCUGUUUUGCCCCGCCCUACGAUCACAAGGGUAUCACAUUAAUCCCCAUAGGUAUCGACCUAGCAUCGCCGACAUCUUUGGCGCGCCAGGUAGGGGAGGAAAGAUUGCAUUAAUCUGACCUAGCCUUCAACGCAUGACCUCUCCUUUGUCGCUAUGGCCCCCAAGAGGAGGGGCGCUCCGGCGACCAACGCUCCCGUACCCAGCCCUCCGGCCCCGGCGAGGGCAAGGGAAGGUACGGGUGCAGGACAAGAAGGCGGAGGCCCCAAGCUUCCGCAGCAUUCUGGAGAGCAAACCCAGGCGAGUGGAGUCGCCUGCGGCCGCGGCGAUCAUCCUCCCCCUGGUACGUCGAGGUACACGGCCGCGCGACCAGCCGACGGCGCGACCACGUCCAUGGAUGCGCCGACGCCUUUCAAGGCGCUCACGCGUGCUCACACAUCGCAGCCUUCUCAGGCCACGCAGGACGGAUCGCCCCAGGAGGGUGGCGAUCCACCCCCACCUAAGGGGACCCCUGGACACAUUCUCGAGGUACGCCGAGCAGGCGUACCCGCUCUACUAUGGCGCGGGCUGGCGAGCCACCGCUUGACCAACAGGGAGCCCCUUCUAAUAUGGUUAGAAGUGAGAGCCCCCUGAGGUCUUCGCACAUCUCGUCGCCGCUCGCACCGGCGGAAGCACUGAAGCAGGCCUAGCUGCUCCUCGAUUUCCCUCCACCGACGGACAAACAAAGGGAGUGGAGGGCCACCAUCCAGAGCCUCCUGGCAGUCGCCGACGGAGACCAUCCACGACAGGCAGGGACGUCGAAAUGGCCCUCCAGCAAACACGCUUGGGACCGUGCCGAGAAGGCAGGGGCUCCCACCACGACCGUGCACUCUCCUCCCCGGCAACAAGAAUGGGUCAUCGUCUCCGACGACUCGACCGGGUCUUCAGACCCCCGCCACCACCGCGAUCAGCAGGACAUUUUCCGCGAGCGGCACGAGGAAGACGCCCACACCCUCAUCGAACGGCAGCGCGAGACACGCCAUCAGUCAGAUAUCCACGCUGGGACCGUCGCUGGCGUACCGGAUUCGGGGUACCGUGGCGACCUACCUCACGAGGUAGGCUGCCCAACAUUUACCCGCGAAUUACGGCGCGUCUAGUGGCCCAGCUCCCGUACUUUCAAACCAGAGAUCCCGGAAAAGUACGAUGGCAGGACCCAUCCGUCGGAGUUCCUUAGCAUCUAGACCAUCGCGGUGCAGGGUGCCGGGGGACGAGGCGAGAAGAUACUGGCCAACUACUUCUCGUUGGUGCUCAAGCCCAACGUCAGGUCAUGGUUGAUGGACCUCCCCAAGAACUCCAUCUCCUCCUGGAAGGAACUCUGCCAGGACUUCGUUGGCGCCUUUACUAGCGGCCACCGAGCUCCUGGUCAGGAGAGCGACUUGCACAUCAUCCCCCAGAAGGAGGGUGAACCCCUGCGCAAGUACAUCCAGAUGUUCAGCCGUAUCCAACACAUCCCUGACGUCCACCCAGCUGCCGUCAUCAACGCGUUCCACCAGAAAAUGCGCAAUCGGAAGAUGCCCGAAGAGCUGGCGAUGAAUAAAGUCCGCGAUGUCGCCAAGCUCUACGCUCUGGCGGAUAGGUGCGCAUGUGCAGAAGAAGGAAGGAAGCUCCCUGACGAGAAUGCCGGUGUUGAAGCCGACUCCUACUCCAAAGACGCCGAUGUCCCCACCAAGAGGGGAAAGCAGCGUAACAAGAAACGGAACGACAAAACCGUGUUUGUUGUCGAGGCAACCAACGACGCCGACUCCACCAAGAAAGCGAAAGCCGAGGCCUCCGGCAAGGAUACCGCCGGGUGCGGCUCCUGCCAGGCCUUGGCGUCCGCGGAUAAACCGGAUGGCCCCAGCACCCAGUACUGCAAGAUCCAGUGCACCAAAGGCCACGACCUCCAGCCCUGCCGGCAAGUUGAACAGCUUGCCGAGAGGCAGCGGGCCGAAUACCAAAGGUGCGACAAAGAAAAGGCCUAGCAAGGUGGCGAAGGGUCAGGCGGGAAGAAGGGCACCCAAGGGAGCCGCCCCGGCAAGUUCAAGGGAAAGAAAGCAAGGCCCGCGCAACCACGAGAAAGAACAGAGGCGGAUGAUGAUGAAGAUUGCCCCGACAACGACUCCAGUGACCACGAAUUGCAGAGGGCAACAUACAUGAUGUGCAUUGAAGGAGGCGCCUCACUGCAUUCUUCGCACCGCCAGCUCAAGAAGUGGGCACGUGAAGUGAUUGCAGCAGAGCCCUCCAUCGGCGCCCGCAAGCCCCUAAGAUGGUCACAGACACCGAUCAUUUUUGACUCUGAGGACCACCCAGACCGCGUUACCGUGGUCGGGUGCUUGCCGUUGUUGGUGUCACCGAUGAUCCGCAACCUCAGAGUAACGAAAAUGCCGGUGGACGGAGGGGCCGGCCUGAAUCUCAUUUCCCCCGAUGUAAUCCAGAAGCUGCAGAUUCCCGAUGAAGACUUUGAAGACAGUGGCGCGUUCCAAGGGAUCAAUCCCAUGAAGAUCCAGCCCAAGGGAAAGAUCAUGUUGCCGGCGACUUUCGACAGCGACCAGAACUACCGGAUGAAGAGGGUCAUCUUCGACGUCUCCGACAACCCGUUCGCGUACAAUGGGAUCCUGGGGCGUUCGACAUUGGCCAAAUUCAUGGCGGCCUCACACUACGCCUAGGGUACCUUGAAGAUGCCUGGCCCGGUCGGCGUCAUCGUCGUCCGCGCCAACAAGAAGGACGCACUCCGAUGCACGGACUGCCUCUACCAGGAGGCUGUGGCAGCACCCGUCGCCAAGAUUCCUUCCACAUCGCCCCGGCAAGGACCCCAGGAGAGAAGAGGGACGACAAGGGAGCUUCCCGCAUUGACCUCGGCAAGCGCACCUCGUUAGAGUGUUGUGCUACCAACAGGGACAUACCAGAAGGCUCCACCACGCGAAGCAAAAGGUCCAGGGCUGCUCCGCCUAAGAAAAAGAAAGUGCCAGCCAAGGAAGACGACUCAGGUGGAACUUUCACCAUCAGUUCCACCCUCGACAACAAAUAGGAAAGCACGCUCAUCACCUUCCUACGGGAAAAUCUUGAUGUGUUUGCCUCGCAACCGUCAGAUAUUCCCGGCGUUCUGGGGAGGUGAUUGAGCACCACCUUGCCGUCUAUCCACACACGCGGCCGGUCAAGCAGAAGGUGAGGAAGCAAGUCCUAGAGCGACAAGAGUUCAUUGCCGAAGAAAUCAAGAAGCUGGAAGCGGCCGGCCUGGUCAGGGGUGUCAUCCAUCCCACGUGGUUGAACAAUCCAGUCGUUGUGCGCAAGGCAAGUGGAAAAUGGCGGCUUUGUAUUGACUUCAUCGAUGUUAAUAAAGCCUGUCCCAAAGAUCCUUUCCCCUUGCCGUGCAUCGACCAGAUUGUCGACUCCACUGCGGGCUGCGACCUCCUGUCCUUCCUCGACGCCUACUCCGGUUAUCACCAAAUCUACAUUGUGGAGGAAGAUGAGGAGAAGACUGCGUUCAUCACCCCAUGCGACACGUACUGCUUCAUGCGGAUGCCCUUUGGGUUGACGAACGCUGGCUCGACUUCCACAAGGGUGAUCCAAAUCGGUUUUGAACCCCAACUCCAUAGAAAUCUCGAAGCUUAUACGGAUGACAUAGUGGUCAAAACCAAGGACGGAUCCACCCUUGUGCCAGACCUGGAAGAAACAUUUGCCAACCUGCGCAAAAUUAACCUCAAGCUCAACCCUGAGAAAUGUGUCUUCAGCGUCCCGUCUGGCAAGCUUCUCGGGUUUUUCGUGUCCCAACGGGGGAUCAAAGCCAAUCCCGACAAGAUCAAGGCCAUCGAGCAGAUUGAGGCGCCGAAGCACGUCAAGGACGUGCGAUGCCUAGCCGGAUGUGUAGCUGCCAUGAGCCGAUUCAUCUCCAAGUCCGCUGAACGCGCCCUGCCUUUCUUUAAAAUCCCGAAGAAGGCGGGAUCGAUGAAGUGGACUCCUGAGGCCGAAGAGGCACUACAAGACUUGAAGGAAUGCCUCUCCUCCGCACCCGUGUUGGUGGCCCCUAGACCCCAAGAGCCACUGCUCUUGUACCUGGUGGCAACCAACCAGGUGGUCAGUGCUGCCUUGGUGGCACAAAGGGAGGAGGGCGAUGAAGCCCCGUCAAAGGCAACGCAACCCGACGAGGAUGCGCGUGAUGGCAAGCGAGAGCCCCCUGCUGUGGUAGAAGACGAGCAAUAGAAGUCCUAGCCAACCAGCGGACCUGUGCAAAAGAAGAAGUUGGUGCAAUGCCCGGUCUAUUUCGUCAGCUCCCUCCUACAAGGGGCCAGAACGAGAUAUUCCGGGGUGCAAAAAUUGCUUUUUGGCCUCCUCAUGGCCUCAAGGAAGCUGCGCCACUACUUCCAAGCACAUGAGAUUACUGUCGUCACUCGCUUCCCGUUGCAGAGGGUUCUGUGGAACCCCGACGCAAUCGGCAGGAUAGUAGAGUGGGCGUUGGAAUUGUCCAGCUUCGGCCUCAAGUUCGAGAGCACCUCGACCAUACGGAGCAAGGCCCUAGCGGAGUUCAUUGCAGAAUGGACCCCAACGCCAGACGAAGAAAUACCAGAAUCAACCCUCCUAGGGAAGGAAUUGACUCAAGAGUGGAUCAUGUACUUUGAUGAAGCUUUCUCCCUCCAGGGCGCCGGGGCUGGCAUGUUGCUAGUCGCGCCUACCGCAGAGCAUCUCAAGUACGUGAUCCAAAUGUAUCCCCCCCCAAGAGAAGUAAAUCAACAACACCGCAUAAUAUGAAGGGCUGUUUGCCGGGCUCAUGAUCGUGACAAUUCUUGGGAUUCGAAAGCUCAUAAUCAGAGGUGACUCCCAACUAGUCAUCCGGCGAGUCCACAAAGAUUAUCAAAGCCCGUUGAUGGAGGCCUAUGUGGAGGAGGUGAGAAAGUUGGAAGAACGCUUUGACGGACUAUAGAUGGAGCACGUACCCCGUGCCGAAAACACCAUCGCAGAUGACGUGACGAAGCAAGCAACACUUAAGCUCCCUGUGGAACCAGGGACUUUCGUGCUACGACUGACUAAACCCUCCGUGGCACCAUCGACCAAGCGAGACAAAAGGAAGAAUCUCAACUCCGGCAAGUACCUCCCGGUAGACCUACCAAGGAGCCAUGGUAAGGACCUUGCCGCGGAAGAAGUUGCCGGACCAGAAGCAGAGCCUGCGGGGGGGGGGAUCCCACCCCGACAGAGGAAUUGCCGUUGCUCCUCGCCAUCGAGCCACGCGCUCCGUCAUGGGCACAUCAUAUAGUCGAUACCUCCAAACUGGGGAAUUGCCUGAGGAUCUUUAAGAAGCACAUAAAGUAGCUCGCCAGUCAAGCAUGUACCAAUUCAUGGACGAUGCCCUCUACAAGAGGCGACUAAAUGACGUGAAGCUAAAGUGCAUCCCCGUGGAGGAAGGACUGCAGCUGUUGGCCGAAAUUCACGGAGGAAUAUGUGGAUCACACAUAGGGUCAAGGGCCCUUGCGAGAAAGGCAUUCCGGCAAGGUUUCUUCUGGCCCACAGCCUCCAGGAUGCAACUACACUAGUAACCAAGUGUGAAGCAUGCCAGUUCCAUUCAAGAAUGCUUCAUCAUCCAGCACAAGCUCUCCAAACAAUCCCUCUCUCGUGGCCAUUCUCGGUCUGGGGGCUCGAUAUCCUCGGCCCCUUCCCCGCGUCGCUGGGGGCUUUGAGUACUUGUAUGUCGCAAUCGACAAGUUCACAAAGUGGCGAGAAGUGGAGCGAGCAAGAAGGGUAACAACGCAGUCAAUUGUCAAUUUCUUCAAGGGGAAAGUCUGUCGCUUUGGCGUCCCGAACAGGGUCAUCACCGACAAUGGAACCCAGUUCACGAGCCGCAUCUUCAUGCAAUACGCCCAGGACCUAGGCAACAAAAUAUGCUUCGCUUUCGUCGCUCACCCAAGGAGCAACUAUCAAGCCGAAAGGGCAAAUACCGAGGUACUGCGUGGGCUCAAUACUAGAACUUUUGAGAAGCUGCGCUAACAUGGAAAGUACUGGAUUGAUGAACUGCCGACGGUUCUUUGGUCGAUCAGAACGACGCCAAAUCGAGCCACCGGCCAGACACCCUUCUCCGUGGUCUAUGGGGCAGAAGCAGUUCUUCCCACGGAACUCGCUUAUGGGUCACCUCGGGUGCUCGCUUAUUAUGAGCUCGAGCAAGAGCAAUUGCGUCCAGAUGAUGUUGUGCUCCUUGAGGAGACCUGGAUUCAGGUGGCUGUGCGAGCCUCUCACUACCAUCAAGCCUUGCGCCGCUAUCAUAGCCGCAAGGUACGAGCCAGAAGUUUCGAGGAAGGUGACCUUGUUCUUAGGCACGUUCAGUCGACCAAGAAUACCAACAAGUUGACACUGAAGUGGGAAGGCCCAUAUCGGGUAGUACGAGUCACCAGGCCCGGCGCUAUCCGCGUGGAGACCGAAGAUGGCUUACCACUGCGCAACUCCUGGAACAUAGAGCAUCUUUUAAAGUUCUACCCGUAGGGAGAGGUUGCCGGGCCACCCGACAACCACCUUUCGUACAAGUCUUGACGAAGCUGCAUGUAAUCCUUUGUACAAAGCCAGGCGAAGACCCUGAGCGCAGUCAAAUAAAGCAUAGCGUUCCGCAUCAUCAUAUAGAUCCUCGUGAUAGAAAACAGGCAUGCAUCUAUGACUUUAUGAAACGCAUGAGCUAACAAGGGGACCAUAGCCCCGACAGAUAUUUUCCCUCUAUUCUUUCCUUUGAAAGACAGGUAUUACCCCUGCGCACAAGUUUGCCGGGGGGAGAUAGUGGGGACGCCCACAGAAGAUAGUUGUAACGACUAAGAUGCAACCCUUUCCUUAUUUGGGGGCGAGGCCUCAAAAGGGGAAAGGGGUGCAUCUACGCGAUUCGCAAACGGGAUAUUCAUCACAUUACAUAAAUAAAGAUUAACAAGUAGGGCAUACACUUGCCAUCUGUUAAGAAUAUAUCAUAGCUUACAGACACACAUUAUUCAGAGUAGCAGCAAGUCCAGCUACAGACUUAAACAGAAGAAAACAGGUAAUCUAACACAUCCCGUAUGCUAGCCCACGAUCAUGACCAUGGCCUCAGUCUUCCGGAUAUUUCACAUACAGACGGUCAGAGUCCUCAUCAUACUCCCACUUCAGCUGGUUGUCAUCAGGAUCUCCUGCAUCGGGCGUACCUGAACCUGGUAGGGUUUGAAGUAAUCUGUGAGCCACGGGGACUUAGCAAUCUAAUGACCUUGGUACUGAAUCUAGUCAAGUUAUUAGGUGAGGAAGGUUUAGUGUAUGGGUUUGCAGCAACCUAAGCAUAUAUAUGGUGGCUAACUUACGAUGAACAAAGUAAUUUGUAUGGUGGUCUACGCGAGCGAUCAAAGACUAGAUGAUCACUAAGUAAUCCUGAACACCUACUUACGUCAAACAUAACCCCACCGUGUUCCCGAUCAAGAGUGGUCUUCGAAGGAGACAGUCACGGUUACACACUCAGUGGACAGUUUUAUUGGAGUUACUUUAAGUUGUCUAGUACCGGAUGUUAACAAAUUAUCCAUGUUUGCCACAUAACCGCGGGCACGACUUUCCGAAAGAUUAAACCCUGUAGGGGUGCUCCAACUAGUCCGUCACAAACUACCACGGGCCGCAAAGUAAUCCUCUAUCACGAAUCUCGUGAUCUCAUCGGAUUCUUUAGAGGAAAACCUCAACUUUGAGAAGACCCAAAGUUUCACCGGGAUUCCUAUACACAAGAUAUAUCGCUAAGGUAAGACAAAUCUGGCAAGACCUCCCGACGUGUCGACGAACCUGAUAGGAGCCGCGUAUCUCGUUCUGAGGACACGGUCGGAUGAGCGCAGCGUACAGUGUCCUGAUAGAAAUCUCCCGAGUUGCCCCGGGUUGGCCCCACAGACGACUCUAGUUUGGACCAACACUCAUGAGGAGCACUGGCCCGGGUUGUUGAUUAAUUCCUCGGGGUAGCUAUUCCCUAUGCAAGUUAUUAUUAGGUGAUUAGCAGAUUAAAACCAAUGUUGGGUCCUGCCACACAAGCCUUAACACUGCACGAUUUACCAAGGGGGUCCCCAUAACAACCCCGAACGUGUUAGGAGCGAUCAUUUAUGGAAUCAAACACCGGUAACCGAAACUAAGGCGGCAACAACGGAACAAGCACCCGGCAAAUAGCAGUUUAAACCUAAUGAUAUCAAAAUAGUCAUGUUAUCACAUGAGACAGCUGGCACCUGCAACUAGCAAAGCUAUUCAUUAGAGGUUCAGCAAGCCUACUUAGCCAAACAACAUUUGCUAGCAGAGGGAGGUGUUUGGGUUUCAUGGCAAUGACAGGUGGCAUUUACAUCAAGUGGUAGGCAGCGAGCAUGUAUCGAAGGAAACGUGAUUCUAAGCAUAACAAAGCUAGAUACGGUAUCAAGGUCAUGGUCAUCUUGCCUGUGAUGUCUUCAUCUUGGAACUGCUCUUGAUCUUCCUGCACGUACUCUCCAGAAUCCACGUACUCGCUCUCCUAUCCUGAUGCUACCCAAGAUAAAAUAACAGCCAAUGAACACCAACACAACGUAAUGCAACAAGCAAUAUGAUGCAUGUGUGAAGAAGGAACCAUGCAUCACUAUUCUAGUCACUUUCAUAUGCAUUAGUUUAGUUAAUUGAAUUCUGGACAUAACCUCAUAUUAAGUUAUCUUGACAUGCAUGAAGAUGGCACGAUCAUGUGCAUCACGAUAAAACGAUGCAAAAACAUAUAAAGAACAUAGAGAACGGAGCUACGGAUAAACCGGAAACUACGAAACAAGAUAUGGAGACCUACGGUUCAAAUCAGCCACAACCACACUCCAAUGGCACUCUCCUGGUGUUACCAAGUUGCCACAUGAUCAAACAACCAAAUAUAAGCGGGGUGGUGCAUGGAAACACACCACACCAUCAACAAUGCCCACACAAGCUUCAAAUCAACAAAAACAUGCAAUCUGUUUUUAACAGCAUCAUAGCAGUUUGUCUACAAUAUUUAAAGUAGCUACAGCCAUCCAAAUGAGCCAAACAAGAUAUGAGGCAAAAGCCAUUCAAAAGCUAUACAACCCUGUGCAAGAAGUUAAUACAAAGGAAUCACACAUGCGCAGAUCUACAUGCACAAACUUGGACAAAAUAUCACAUAUUCUGGGACUUAGGGAAAAUCACAGAUUUUCACCAGCUGCUUAUGCUCUGAAGCAUUUUGGCAGCCUCCAAAAUGAUAUCUACAUGAAGCGUAUAAGCAUGAAAUUUAACAGGGAGCUAGACAAACACAAAAGCUCACAAACUUUAGUUUGUUGCAUGGGCUGAUUCCCAACACAUGAGCUAUUGCAACCAAGACAACAGGGGAAGAAAAUAACAGCAGAUUCUCAUACUUAGUGAAAAUCACAGAUUUUCACAAAGCUGUUAGUUUCAGCCAAGUGUCAACUUUGGCAAGGCACAAUAGGUGCAUACAAAUUCCUAUGAACAAAAAAAAGACCCCAUGCUGUAGAGGGGUUCACCCACUACCACCACAUCAAGGAUUCAUCCUCAUAGAGUCAAGGCAUCACCUAAUACAAAGCACUAAACAUGGCAUCAUGACAGAAAAUGAUAGUUUUAUGAAGUUGCUCUAAAGUGAAAUCUGAUUGCACCAAUGGAUUCCUGGGAUGAUUAUACCCCAAAAUCAUAUAUAAUACAUGGGUACUUGCAUGUAACAUCUAGGCACAAAGCUAGCUCGAAAAACAAACCUAGAAUCCAAUAUGACAUAUAGGAACAAUAUCACAUGUAGAUAUAGCACAAGUAGCAACAUCUACACCUACACAUGCACACACACAAGCCCAUACACCACUACAUCACUCCAUAGUGGCAAGCAUGAGGGGUUAGCCCUCAUGCACAAGUGCAUAUGUGCACCCAUGCCCACACACACACAUGCAUGAGCACAUACACACAGAUAUAUGUGCUCACACACACACACUAACAAAAGGUGCAACAUGAGGGGCUAGGCACUCUUGCACAUAUGCAUGUGCAACCACAUUCACUCACACACACUCACAUGUGUGCACACCUUCACUCAUGUGCACACACACAUACACACACUAGUGCACACACCACCUACAGACACUAGUGCACACACCACCUACACACACUCAUGCACUUGCACACACACAUACAUGGCAUCAGCUAAGCCUUGAAGGGAUAAACCCCCUGGUUUUGGAAAAAAAGUACAAGGCAUACUUGCUGCACAAGAAAAAGAAAAAGAAAAAAAAAACAUAACAAAGGGGAACAAAAAGAAAAUGGGGAGGCCCCUGGACUCGUACCCAGGACCCCCUAGCACUGCUACACCAACACACACCACUGGGCUACCCUUCGGCUCUUGACAGAGGAGAGGGAGACAACAUGGUAAGCUCUGUGCACAAGCACUUCUACUAGCGAAAACCACAAUUAAAUAAAAAGGGGGCCUUGCGGGGAUCGAACCCACGACCUGCCUGUGCAAAAUCGCUCCCCUACCAGUCUGCUAUGCAAUCAGUUCUUAAUAGAGAGGGGGGAGUUGCUCUUUUGAGCAUCCCCUCUGCUCCUACUGCACACAAGCGGCGGCCAGAACAGGGGAGACUCCCCGGCGACGCUCUGGCGAUCUAUCACCUACGACUACUACGGCGCGGGACACGGGAGGUUGGGGGAACCCGUUCCUGUGGCUAACCCACGCGGAGGGGCUGUGAGAUGGCGACUCGACGCGGCUGCGCAACCGGCCGGAACAGGACACGACGGCGGCGCAAUUCCGGCGACAGGCGAGACUUUAGACGCGGGGAAGGAAAGGGGGCUCACUUAGGGGUGCUCGAAGGAGUCAAUGCUGCCGAGAAGAGGAGGAAGAUGCGAGGUCGACGGCGACGGGCUUCUCUGCUCCGCCCGAGACGACGACGGCGAGGAGAGGUCGCCAGAGGAGAGGAUCCACCCCUAGCACCGGGAAUGGAGCGAGGGAGGAUCCAGCAUCCUCCCUGCACUCUCGGAUUCGACGGUGAGGCACCGGCGAUGCGGAGAGGCACGAUGGCGAGGAGGCGCUCUCUCUGAACCCGAAGGUAUUCCUCUCUCAAGCUUACCUGAGGAGGGGAAGAAGGAGGGGGAAGAAGGUGCUGGCGGCAGAGUAGAAGGAAGGGAGGAACCCUAGGAGGAGGGGGCACGCACGCCGAGGCUUCAUAGCCCUCGGCUUUAGUGUAUUCACGACGUCAACGGUGCUCUCUCUCACUGAUGCCCCACUGACGGAAAGGGGAGAAGCAACGGCGUCAAAGGAGGAAGAACGAACGGGGAGAGGGCCGCGCGAGAGAAAGAAAAGAUAUAGGCCAGGGGAAAGGAGGAAGCCAGCCCACAUGCGCCUGAUCAGAGAGAAAUAAAAAAAAGGGUUUUCUCAUUUUAAAUAACACCUUCAAACAAAAAUGCACACAGCCACACAGGGGUUUGAAGAAAACAAAAUAAAAAUACCUAGGGCAUAAGGGAAUUAUGCCCUACUUAAAUAAAAUAUAAAUCUGAUUUUUGGAGCAACUAAAUUAAAUUCAAAACAGAAUUUAAUAUGUUGUUUUGUUGGAAAAAACCUACAUGGCUUAGGUUUAAAAACCCCAAGACAACACCCCUACACACACCAGAUAAAACAACAAAUGAACAACAUUUUUAAAACAAGUUUUGACAAGUUAAAACAUGAGUUCAAAUAAUAAUGGAGAAGGGGGGUUUGAGACCUUGUUUGAAAGCAACAUUGUUUUGAAAAUAUCACCACAUCAAACACAAGCACACUAGCAUUCAAAAUGGAUCAAGCAACAACAUCAUCACAAUGGGAUUAACAUGAAAGCAAUGAAUGCCAUGGUGCAAAGGUGAUGACAUGAAAUGACCACAUGAAAUGAUAACUCUUUUAGCAUAGAGAACAUGGUUCCAAAUAGGAAAGGUUCCCAAAUAUGGCAAGGGUUACAUCUGGGGCAUUACAAUAGUGGGGACGCCCACAGCAGCAACAAGAGCCAAGAUAUUCCACUCAAAGCCGAAAGAAGUAAGCGCAACCAGCAGGAAAGUAGCGGACACUUUGAGUAAGUUGUUGGGUAAGCCAUUGGGUGAGCACACUCCUCUCCUCUCUAAAACGGCCCACUUUAUCUCAAACGGAAAAACCUGUGCGCUGGGGAUUGCUGUCAUUAGCCUCCCAAAGUUCGCCUCGAAGCACGCUCAACAAUCAAGGUGGCUUGUCCAGCAGACCUCUUUUAUAAAAAGCGUGCUCGGCGGCCCGCGACGAGGCCUGGAAGGGAGUUAAAUAUCCUGCCGGCAGUGGCGACCCCCGGCAAAGUAUCGUAGGAAAGAGGGGAAGAGGUGAUAGAGGAAAGGCAGCGCUACUCUCCCAAAGGGAGUACGGAGUAUAUUACAAAUAGCAAAGAUUAUGUUCAAAUUAUAGAUUAUAAUAAGAAAAGGCACGGAGGCUACUCCCGACGUGGACCUUGCACCCUUUUAACCUUGUCUAUCUUGUCGACGAUAGGCAUGACCUUCUGUUCAAAGACCUUGGGGUCCACUUCCUUCGGCACACGUACCAUGGAGAGAUUCAAAUCAGGGUUCUUGUACGCCAGCUUGGUAAGCACUUUGAGGAGGACGUUCCGGCAUAGCCGCCGAGCUUCGCCCGCCAACCGCGUCAUCUCUUCGGCCUAGAGACGCUUUAGGGCGUCGGUCAUACUCUCGAAGAACAAGGGCAAGUUGACGCUCAGAGGAGCCUCCGGAGAAGGAGCAUAGCCGGGGCCUUCGAGAUCCAUGGUGGCCAGCUGGUCGGUGAUGGGAGACGCGCCGUUAACAAGGUGCCCCGUCCACAACGUGACGACCUUCACGUAGUUGCCAUGGUCGGCGGAGGCGGCGUCAAGCUGUUCCACCAAGACCUGGAGCUUCCGAGCCAGAUCCUCCUCCUCGGGCACUGCCUCCUUGAGUUCCUCCUCCACAGAGGUCAACUUGGCCCGCAGGGCAUCCAGAGAGGCGUUGGCACCACGGAGCUGGUGGCCUUGUCGGCUGCAGCAGCCUCAACCUCCUCCAAGUUGGCGAGGGCCUUGUCCCUCGUAGAAGAAAGCGUGGAUACCUUGUUGUGGAGGCCAUUGAGCUCUUCCUCGAGCUCUUUCACCAUCCCGGUAAGCCCAUCCUUGGCGACUUGGGAAACAAACGCUCGGUCGGUGCUCUCCUGAAGCUUGCCGGCAAAUACCGAGGCCUGGGCAUCGAGGUCGCUCUUAAACUGGUCCGUCAGCUCCUGAGUACGAUGCGCCACCAGUUUCUCGACCUCCUCGCCCUUGGCGUGGAGCCUCUCGUUGAGCGCCUGCUCCCGGGCGGCGAGCUCCUUCUUAUGAUCUUCCAGGCCGAUUCGUAUGUUGGUGAGGCGAGCCUCCUCGACUAUGUUUCGGCGCCGAUCCUCUUUCUCCUCCUUCCGGUCGUCGUCCGACCAAAGGCUCAGCGCUUGAUCCUCGGCCUGCAGCUCCUUGUAGGCCUCGUCAAAUGAGCUCGCGUUUCUUUAAAAUGCUUCUCAAAUGCCUCCUCCUCCGCCUGGAUGACCGCCUCCCGGGAGUCCAGCUUUUCACUCCUGACGUGGUACAAGGCUUGGAGCUGGCUGACGUGGUCUCUCAUGGAGAGGAAGAGCUGCUCCUCGCUGAGUUUUCCGUCACCAGCCUCCAGCCCCGCCGGGGCGUCACAACAUACGCCGGCAGAGACCUCCGCGUCGAUGUUCUCCCCUUCCACCAAGGCCCUCGAUCGCUGCACCCGCGUUGGUACACGAACGUCCCCUCGCCGGCGCGAAGGUACGCACUGUCGGGGGCGUCCUCGGGACUGGGGGGCUGAUCGCGGCCUACCUCACUGCUGGUGAGGUGGGGUUCUUCACCCUUGGUGGUCUCCCGCCCCCCAGCUGGCGAAGGAUCGUCGUCACGUGCCCCCGAGGCCUCGUCAGGAUCCGGGGUGUCCCACUCCUUCUCCCGCUCCUCGUGGCCGGCCUCGCGGCCAUGGCAUCGGAGGCCUCAACCGCCGCUCCACGAGCGACCUCUGUAACCACAGCAUCGGCGUCCAUCUCCUCCACGGGGGAGGAAUCGGAGGGGCAGGAAAAGGGGAGGAAUGAACGAAAUCAGAUAAAGCAAUGAAGAAGAAAAUUCAAGACUCAACUUACGAAUGCUUCCGGACAAACGCUCACCGUCCCCCUGCCGGUGGAUGGUAGCUGACUCCUCCCCGGCAACGUCCGUUGCCGGGGACUCGUCCUCAAGCACCACGAGCUCAAGCGAUGCUCGCCGAGGGCUUUGCCGGGGGCUGGGCACAAGAGUGGCCGCAUGCGUCGACGGAGCUUCCGGAGCGUCCGCCAAGGGAUUGUCGCUGCUUGGCUCCAUGGCGUCCGCAGGGGGGCCCUCGCCAGCCGACGCGUCGGUGUCCACCAAGGGAUCGCCCUCGGCCGCGCACUUGGGUCUUGCCGGAGGCACCCCUCCAGUCGAGGUGUCCGCUCCCACCGACGGCUCGUCGACAACAAACACCCUAGCCCUCUUCGCCAACCUUUGGGCCAGCGUCUCGUUGUCCCUGCGAACAAGCGACGACACCAAGUCAGCAAGAAUACCAAGCAAGCAAGAAUGAGGGGAGGGGUCAGUGGAUCGAACUCUUACUCAUCCUCCUCCUCCUACGAGCUCAGGAUCGAGAUAUCAUAAUCCACCUCCGCCACCGCGUCCGCUGAAGGGUACACCACCCUCGGACGUUUGACGGGCGCGGCAGGUGGACCUUGCCGGAUCGGGAUAUUGGAGCUGACGCGAUGGAGCACUCGCUUGGGCUUUCCACGCGCCAAGCACUCCUCUGUCUCCUCCUCCCUCUCUUGCAUCCCGGCGGCUGACGUCCGUUCUUCUUGACGGGCCCCGACAGCCGAACCACCAGAACCCCUGGCGAGCUCCAAUUGUGGUGGCGCCUCUCCGUCAGCCGCUUCCCUGCCAGGGGAGCCCGCGCGCCCAGCCCCAAGGGAGAGGGUAUGCUCCUCCAUCCGGCGGGCGAUGUGCGCCUCCUCUGCGGUGGUGGUGUCGUGGACGAGGCCUUUUUCUUCCCGGAUGGGGGCCUCUGACAAUCCAUCGAAGAAGGACGAGACCACCUCAGUCGCGGGCUCCAGCCAGGUCGCGACCACACCGUGGGCGUCACAAUCCGGCAUCAUCGCCGUGAGGUUGCUCAAGGCCGAGCUGUUGCAUAGCGGGAGGACCCCAUGCGAUAGCCGGAUCUUCAGCUCAAAGCUGAACAACUUCUGGCAGAAGUACCCGAGCUCCAUGACCGUUAGAUUUUUGUCCACACCCGGACGCAACCGCAUGACAUCUGCCGUAUUCGCAAAGGCCGAAGCCGGCCUCCCUCCCAUGUGCUGGAGGGGGGCGAUGCGCCUGCGGAGGAAGUCAGCAGCCACCAUCUCCAUCGUCAACCCCGCGGCCCUCAGGCGCAGGAUCGUGGUGGUGGCGAUGGACAGCUUAUCAUCGUCAGGGGACAGAUUGCUCCAGCCCUCUCCCCGGGACCCGAUCCUGGAGGUCCUAGGCUCGCAAAAGGGCGGGUAUCCCUCGUGACGAAUCCAACACAACUUCCCCCGCCACUCGUCCCACUUCUCGCGAAGGGUACCUCCCAGGUACGCCUCCUUGGUCCCGGCCUUUGGGACCCAGGUGAUGGAGCCCAAGAGGGCCUCCUCGCCCUGGACGCGAGGAGGGAAGUAGUGGCAGAAGAGGGCUGUGUUGGGGUGAUCCCAACGAAGUUCUCAUAAAGGUGCGCGAAGAUAGACAUGCACGUCACUGCAUUUGGCGUAAAGUCGAGGAGGCGGAAGCCGUAAGUAUGCAUGUGGUCGAGGAAGAACUCCGAGAAUGGCGGGCAAAGCCCGCAAAAGAAGUAAUCGAAGAAGAAGGGAAACUGGUCCGGACCCCCACUUCCCAUCCCAGGGAGCACCUCCGUGGCCGGAUGCACCUUCGUCUCGGCCGACAGCAUGAUCUGAUAGUGGCUCUUCAAGGUGGCCAUAUCCAGGCCUUUGGGGAAGACAGCGUGCUUCUUCCGCAACCUCGCCAACUCUUUCUCCGAAGUAGCGCCCUUUCCCUCGGAGGUCUUCGGAGCCAUGGCGACGGCGGGAGAUGGACGCUGUCGCACGAGGCAGAACCGCAGGGAGGAAGGGGAGGCGUGAGGAAGCUCCAGCAGAAGGUGGCGACGACGGCGGCGUUUGAGAUUGGAAAAGGACCGGGAACAGUGGGCUAGGAGAGCUCGUGUUUCCCCUUCUUAUGGGGACGCGGGCCGACCCUUUGCCUGCUCCACCAACGGUUCCCCACGCUCGCGGCCGCCUUGGUCACUACGCACACAACUCCCCACUCCGCACGAUCAAUGCGCGGCAUGGGGAAAGGCAACCGCCAAUAGAUCCAGCCGCAAGAGCCCGUACACCUCUUUGGGCCUGGCCCAACAACGCUCUGCACGCGUGUGUGGCCCAGGCCUAGGGGCUCUUGUCGGUGCACUAAAUUCUGGGGUCUCUAGUGCCCCAGACUUGUGCACGGGCACAAAGAGCCCCUAACGGCACGGCACGGCGGAAUCCCGACAAGACUCGCCCCCAAGGCAUCCAAGGCCCCGACAAGCCUGUCUUGCCAGGAAGACACCCAAGGCCACGUCCUAGCACAAGGCCCCGGCGAGGCCCCCUCUUCGGGAAGACAGCCAAAACCCUCGACAAGCUUCCUUGCCGGGACGAAGCACCAAGGCCCCGACAAACACCCUUGCCGGGAUGACGUGGCAGCGCACCAGAGGGCGACCGCCCUUGCCACAGUACCACCGCUCCCCCGUGUUACAAUGCAUUCCGCAUGCGCUAGCGGGGCAUCUAGGUGUCGAAACACCUGGACACAUGUCUUCACCAACACUUAGCUGACAUGACAAGACGCGCAUUUAAUGCACCUGACAGCGGUAGAUGGAUAAGCGCCACUGUAGGUUCACUGUAACAUCUCGUGAACUUACCAUUGAGCAAUGUAGGUGACCCCUUUGCCUAUAAAAGGAGGCCCUUAGCUCAUUCACAAGGGUUAGACUUUUUGGAGAUUGGCCAAGAAGAGGAUUAUCAUCGCUGUAAAUGAACAACAAAAGAACGGUUAAUACAAUCAAACGAGCAUGACGUAGGGUUUUACGCUUAAGUGGCCCGAACCUAGGUAAAAAGCUUGUCGGGUGUCGAUCGUUUGGUCUGCUCUUGACGCUGUUUUUCCUCGCCCUACGAUCACAAGGGUAUCGGUUGAUCCCCAUAUGUGUGGACCUAGCAUCACCGGCACCAGGCCCAUGUAAUUUCGAAAUACCAUAGUAUAGGCUGUUUUUAGAGUCUGUAUGUGUGGGGAAACCGAGUUUAGGGCUGUUUUUGGACCCCUCCUCCAAGGGUCACGAAAUUGCCUCCCUAUUCCCUCAUAUAUACAACCCUUAGGGCACCGUUUAGACUUGGGUUUUGUUUAGAUUACAAGUUCGCCAUAGCUGCAACUUCGCAUUCUUCGUUCUUUUUCCACGACCAGACAAAGGCGUUAUAGAACCCCACCUUCAUCAAUAAAGCUUUCCUCUUAUAUUCACAGUAUCUUGAUUGCAAUCUUUGUUUCUUGCUUGCUCUUCGUUUGUGUGCAGGAAACAGACCUUCGUGGUCAGGUUGAUCGUGCUCCGGCGUGAUCAAUAACCUCUUGGAGUUGGUUUAGCGAUUGCUAAGGUGCAAGGUCCUCACACGUUCGUAGUCGGAUCGUUAAAGUCUACUCCACCAAAAUGAUACCCACGAUCUCAUCGAAAGACAGGGACAACCUCGCCUCUAUCAAGUGGUAUCAGAUUUCCAGGUUGCUCGGUGAGAUUUUACCAGUUUUUUCGUAGUUGGAUCGCAUCUGUUCUUCAUACCUAUAGUCCACGAAAAAGCCAUAAAAAUUAGGGUUAGAUCAUCAUAUCCGAACCAAUAUGAGCCUUUGCAUAGUCUUUUCAGUAGUUUGCUUUGUUGAAUUUGCGGUUACAUCGUCGUGUCGAGUUGCUUGUCUUAGUGUCUAGUCGUUUAGAGUUUCGAGUUCUAUUCAUAGGUUGUCACGCUGCCGCCACACCGUCUUUCAUCAUUGCCAUAUACCACCUCCACGCUACCAUCAUCGCUGCUGCCAUAUACCACAACCACUCCACCAUUAUACUUGUUGCCAAAUACCACCACCAUAUAUCCACCACAAUCCUAGUGUGCGUCCUUUCCGCCUUAGGUUAAUUUCGAGAUACUUUUGCUUUCGGUUUCGCGUUUCCUUACCUGAGUAGGUUUAAAAAAAGAGUCUGGCACGCUUUCCAGAGCACUUUUUAGGCCAAAAUUUCGAGGGGUGAAAAAAAUUCCCUAUCAUUUUGUUAGUCUUUUUAGAGAGUUUUGAGACACUCGCCAUCAUAGUGAUUUUUGUUGCAAUUUUUGGUCGUCGCAGCCCCGAAUUGCUCUAGGAAAAAAAUUGUCAAUUUUUUUUCGUGCCUAUCCUGUUUUUGGUCCUUCGGAAGAGAUUUGAGACACUCGCUAUUAUAGUGAUUUUCUGGAGAAAAAAAGCGCAAAAAAAGAGUGCAAAAAUAAAAUAAAAAUGAGAGUGGCUCUUCCCUUGAUUAUGUGUCGUCGUGACUUUGUUGGUGUUCUAGGCUCGCGUCUCUAGUAUGGUCUAGCCUAGGACCAUCACGGUACCGUCGUUGAGCGUCUUUUCAACUUUGCUUCUCUGAACUGAUUAUUGCUGACCCUUCUUGCUGCCAUAUUAUAAGCGUUCCCAGCUCCACAUACAUCUACAUCAUGUGUUUGACACCACCUGGCAAUCGCUCUAUCCACGCUUUGAGAGUCUUGACUACACCGGUUGCCGAUCACCACCUGCUACCGGGUAAGAAUUGGUAAGAAAUUGAGAUUUGCCUGACGGAUUUGUGACACACCACCACCACCCCCACUUCCUAGUAGUGUGUAGGUUCAUUAUCUUCUGUGUUCCUAUUGAUGCUAACCAUGCCAGGAUCACACGAUGAGAAGAUCGACUGGGAGAACCUGACCAACCGGGAGCUCCAUGAUAAAUUUCAGCAAAUGAUGUGUGACCAGGUACAGGAUUUCGUGACCACCUUUGGAGAGGCCAUGGACAAGCUCGAAGGUAUGGAUAAGAAAUUCGACACCAAGAUGAACGCCAAGUUCAAUGAGGUUCUUGCCCGUUUACCACCACCAGCUGUAGAUUAUAUCCCUCUUCAACCACAACAACAACAACGUCUACGAGGACGACGCGUGCCUGUCAACCAAGUGUAGAAUUUUGGUGUUGCUGCUCCUACUGCUGCUACUCCUCCUCCUGCUACUACCGAGGUUUAUGUGGCUGAGUAGAAUGAGGAUUAUGAUGAUGAUUAUGAUGGUGAUUACGAUGAUGAUGCAGAGGUUGCUCCAGUUCAGCACGAGGAACAACAACCACCACGACAAGCCACCGGUCAUCCACAUGGAUACAAUUGCAAUGGUAGGGAUGCACCACACCCUCAGGUACGGGCUCAUGACCAUCUCCCUAAACUUAAAUUGAAUAUUCCUACUUUCGAUGGUCGAUAUGUUACUGAUAUAUAUCUUACUUGGGAGUUAGAAAUAGAGCAACGUUUUACAUGCCGGAAAUUCCUGAAGAUAGACGUGUUGCUGCUACUGUUUGUUCUUUCAUUAGUUUUGCUUGUGUUUGGUGGUCCGAAUAUUGUCGAAUACAUCAUGCUAAUAUUUCAACUACUUGGGCUUAUAUGAAAACUUCUAUGCGUACUCGUUGGGUUCCACCAUAUUAUCAACAUGAAUUACUUCAAAACUUGUAGCGUUUAAGACAAGGAAAAAAGUCUGUAGAAGAAUAUUAUCAGGAAUUACAAACUAGAAUGAUUAGAUGUGGUAUUGUUGAGGACAAUGAAGCUAUGCUUCCACAUUUUAUGGGUGGAUUAAAUAGAGAUAUUCAGACUAUUCUAGAAUAUAAGGAUUAUAACACUAUCACUCGUUUAUUCCAUCUUGCUUGCAAAGCUGAACAUGAAGUGCAGGAUCGAAAGGCAUUGGCGAGAACUAAUUUUUCUGCAUGUCACACUUUGUCAUGGAUGCCACGAAUCACAUCUACUUCCACACGUCCUCCUGCAUCAGGACCGCGAACUUCAGCCGCCAAUUCCACCAGAGAUAUCAGGAAACGGGCCCCUGCACCACCCUUUGCCAAGAGCACACCUUCCGGGCCCGCACAGAGCUCUUCUUCAUCCAUGGUAUCCACGGGCCAAACACAUGAGGUUAUCUCACGUCGUUGCAAGGGUGGAGGUCAUUAUGCGAGAGAGUGCCCAUCCAAGCGUGUGAUGAUUAUUACUGAGGAUGGCAGAUAUGACUCCGCUAGUGACUAUGAUGAGGAGACUCUGGCUCUUAUUGCAAGUGAAUAAUAGGUGUAGAUGAUACUGAACAAAAGACACACUACAUGGCUGUUGAUUACGCUGACAGGUAUGAAAGCUUAGUUGCUCAACGUGUUUUAAGUGUGCAGGUAACACAGGGUGAGCAAAAUCAGAGGCACAACUUGUUCCAUACAAAGGGAGUUGUAAAGGAACGUUCUGUUCGCGUAAUCAUCUAUGGAGGGAGUUGCAACAACUUAGCUAGCAUGGAGAUGGUGGAGAAGCCGUCUCUCGCCACCAAACCACAUCCUUGUCCUUAUUAUAUCCAGUGGUUCAACAACUGUGGCAAGGUUAAGGAACACGUAUUGUUCGUGUGCAUUCUAGCAUUGCUACAUAUUCUGAUUUUGUUGAUUGUGAUGUGGUACCCAUGCAAGCAUGCUCUGUUUUACUUGGUAGACCAAGGCAAUUUGAUAAAAAAUCUGUACACCAUGGUAAAACAAAUCAGUAUACUCUUAUUUAUAAGGAUCAAAAUAUAACUUUGCUUCCUAUCUCUCCUGAACAAAUUAUGAAAGAUGACAUUGCUAGAGCUAGUAAAGCAAAACAUGACCUACAUAAGAGUGAAAAUCAGAUUGUAGCAAAGGAAUUUGAGAAACACAAUAAGCCUAAUCAAUCAUCAUCUAGUGUUGCAUCUGAAAUAAAACUAAAGAGUAGUUGUUUACUUGCCACUAAAUCUGAUAUUGCUGAUUUGGAUAUUACUACUUCUAUUUGCUAUGCUUUCGUAUGCAAAGAGGUAUUAUUUUCAUUCGAGGACAUGCCACCCUCUUUGCCUCGUGCUGUCAUUAACAUUUUGCAGGAGUUCACUGACAUCUUUCCACAAGACGUGCCACCAGGGUUACCACCUAUUAGAGGGGUUGAGCAUCAGAUUGACUUAAUUCCCGGUGCAUUGCUACCCAACCGUGCACCAUACCGUACCAAUCCAGAGAAGACGAAGGAGAUAAUGCGUCAAGUACAAGAGCUGCUCGGCAAAGGUUAUAUACGUGAAUCUCUUAGUCCUUGUGUUGUUCCUAUUAUUCUAGUGCCAAAAAAGGAUGGUACAUCGCGUAUGUGUGUUGAUUGUAGAGGCAUUAAUAAUAUUAUUAUUCAUUAUCGUCAUCCUAUUCCUAGGUAUAUGAUAUGCUUGAUGAAUUAAGUGGCUCUACAAUUUUCUCCAAAGUUGAUUUGCGUAAUGGAUACCAUCAAAUUCGCAUGAAAUUGGGAGUUGAAUGGAAAACAACAUUUAAAACUAAGUUUGGAUUAUAUGAGUGGUUAGUUAUGCCUUUUGGAUUGACUAAUGCACCUAAAACUUUCAUGAGAUUAAUGAAUGAGGUUUUAUGUGCUUUCAUUCUACGAUUUGUGGUAGUCUACUUUGAUGAUAUACUGAUUUAUAGUAGUUCUUUUGAGGAACAUUUGGAUCAAUUGUGUGCUGUUUUUAUUGCUGUACAUGAUGCACGUUUGUUUGAUAACCUUGGGAAGUGCACCUUUUGCACAGACCGAGUAUCUUUUCCUUGCUAUGUUGUUACUCCACAGGGAAUUGAAGUUGAUAAAGCCAAGAUUAAAGCUAUUGAGAGUUGGCCGCAGCCCAAAACGGUCACACAAGUGAGGAGUUUCCUUGGACUCGCCGGGUUUUAUAGGCGUUUUGUGAGAGAUUUCAGCACCAUUGCUGCACCUCUCAAGGAGCUUACAAAGAAGGAUGUGCCUUAUUCUUGGGGUACCGCACAGGAAGAAGCCUUCACGGUUUUGAAAGAUAAGUUAACACAUGCUCCUGUACUCCUACUUCCUGAUUUUAAUAAGACUUUCGAGCUUGAAUGUGAUGCUAGUGGAAUUGGAUUAGGAGGUGUGUUAUUACAAGAUGGUAAACUUGUUGCAUAGUUUUUUGAAAAAUUAAGUGGGCCUAGUCUGAAUUAUUCUACUUAUGAUAAUGAAUUAUAUGCUCUUGUUCGGACUUUUGAAACAUGGCAACAUUAUUUGUGGCCCAAAGAAUUUGGCAUACAUUCAUCAUGAAUCUUUGAAACAUAUUAAAAGUCAAGCAAAACUGAACCGUACACAUACUAAAUGGGUUAAAUUCAUUGAGACUUUCCCAUAUGUCAUUAAACACAAGAAGGGUAAAGAAAUUGUUAUUGCUGAUGCUUUGUCUCGUCGUUAUACAAUUUUUUCACAACUUGACUUUAAAAUAUUUGGUUUGGAGACCAUCAAAGAUCAAUAUGUGCAUGAUGCCGAUUUCAAAGAUGUGUUGGAGAAUUGAAAAGAAGGGAGAACAUGGAACAAGUUCAUCAUUAAUGAUGGAUUUGUGUUUCGUGCUAACAAGCUAUGCAUUUCAGCUAGCUCCGUUCGUAUUUUGUUGUUACAGGAGGCGCAUGGAGGAGGAUUGAUGGGACCCUUUGGCGUAAAGAAGACGAAUGACGUACUUGCUACACAUUUCUUUUGGCCAAUGAUGCAACGGGAUGUUGAGCGUUUUGUUGCUCGCUGCACGACAUGCCAAAAAGCUAAGUCACGACUCAAUCCUCAUGCUUUAUAUAUGCCUUUGCCUGUACCUAGUGUUCCUUGGGAGGAUAUAUCUAUGGACUUUGUUUUAGGUUUACCUUGAACAAAGAAGGGGAGGGAUAGCAUAAUUGUUGUCAUGGACAGAUUUUCAAAAAUGGCACACUUUAUACCAUGUCAUAAAAGUGAUGAUGCUGCUAAUGUGGCUGAUUUGUUCUUUCGUGAAAUUAUUCGCUUGCAUGGUGUGCCAAAUACGAUUGUUUCAGACCGUGAUGCUAAAUUUCUUAGCCAUUUUUGGCAAUGUUUAUGGGCUAAUUUGGGGACAAAAUUGCUUUUUAGUACUACAUGUCACCCCCAAACUGAUGGACAAACUGAAGUAGUCAAUAGAUCUUUGUCUACUAUGCUUAGGGCUGUUUUGAAGAACAAUCUAAAACUGUGGGAAGAAUGCUUGCCUCAUAUUGAAUUUGCUUAUAAUCAUUCGAUGCAUUCUACUACAAAGAUGUGUCCUUUCGAAGUUGUGUAUGGUUUUCUACCUCAUGCACCUAUUGAUUUGUUACCUCUUCCAUCUUUGGAGAAGGUUAAUUUUGGUGCUAAAGAACGUGCUGAUUUGAUAUUAAAGAUGCAUGAGUUAACUACGGAAAACAUUGAGUGCAUGAAUGCUAAAUAUAAACUUGCUGGAGAUAAGGAUAGAAAACAUGUUGUCUUUGCACCUGGAGAUCUUGUUUGGUUACAUUUGUGUAAGGACAUGUUUCCUGAUUUGCGCAAGUCAAAGUUAAUGCCGCGUGUUGAUGGUCCUUUCAAAGUGUUAGAGAAAAUAAAUGAUAAUGCAUAUAGACAUCAGCUGCCUGCAGAUUUUGGGGUUAAUCCCACUUUUAACAUUGCAGAUUUGAAGCCAUAUUUUGGUGAGGAACAUGAGCUUUCGUCGAGGAUGACUUCAGUUCAAGAAGGGGAGGAUGAUGAGGACAUCAACACCAUUGUUACACCCACAACCCUAGAUGCUAUACAUACAGGACCACUUACUAGAGCUCGCGCACGCCAAUUGAAUUAUCAGGAACUUUCGUUUCUUGGAAAUACGUCUAAUGUUCAUGAACAUAUGAUGCUGCCUAAGUUAGAUACUUUUGUUGUACUUAUGAAUGAACGACCUAGCAUGGACAAGAAGGAUAUCCGUUGGAGCGGGAUCAAGCAUGGAGAAGAAGGUGCAUGCGCGGGAGAGAACAAUGGAGCUCCCACUUGUGAUUUUCGUACUUUAAAGCCACCAUAAGGAGAGCAUGAAGGCUUUGGAUGAAAUAUUCAAGACGCCACUUUAUAAAUUUCGUCCAUAGGCUAUUAUAGGUGUUGCACCACCUUAUUUUUGGGCCACACCCAUGUAAUUUCGAAAUACGAUAGUAUAACCUGUUUUAGAGUCUGUAUAUGUGGGGAAACCGAGUUUAGGGGUGUUUAUGGACCCCUCCUCCAAGGGUCAUGAAAUUGCCUCCCUAUUCCCACAUAUAUACAACCCUUAGGGAACCGUUUAGACUUGGGUUCUGUUUAGAUUACAAGUUCGCCAUAGCUGCAACUUCGCGUUCUUCGUUUGUGUUCCACGACCAGACAAAGGCGUCACAGAACCCCACCUUCAUUUAUAAAGCUUUCCUCUUAUAUUCGCAAUAUCUUGAUUGCAAUCUUGGUUUCUUGCUUGUUCUUCAUUUGCGUGCAGGAAACAUACCUUCAUGGUCAGGUUGAUCGUGCUCCGGCGUGAUCAAAAACCUCUCGGAGUUGGUUUACCGAUUGCUAAGGCGCGACGUCCUCACGCAUUCGUAGUCGGGUCGUCAAAGUAUACUCCACCAAAACGAUAUCCACGAUCUCAUCGAAAGACAGGGACAACCUCGCCUCUAUCAGAAGGCACCUUAGGACAACACCAUAUCCUCACACAAGUCAUAUCAAUAACAUCAUAUCACAAUUAACCCAUAGGAAAAAACGGAUCUACUCAAACAUCAUAAGAUAACCACAUAUCAUUGGGAAAUAGUACGUAGUGUUGAGCACCAUGUUUAAGUAGAGAGUUAUAGUGGGAAAAAGGUGUUACACUGCUGCAUAUAAGGGGAGAGAGUUGGCAUUGAUGGCGACAAGAUUGUUGAUGUAGAUCGCCAUGAUGCUCCUUGCCCCGGCGGCAGUCCGGUGCCACUAGGAGAGAGAGGGGGGGAGCCCCCUCCAUCUUCUUCUUCCUUGCCCCCACCCCGUAGAUGGGAGGAGAGUUCCCCCUCUGGUCCGUGGCCUCCAUGGCGGUGGAGGGGAAGGAACCCCUCCGAGAUUGGACCCCCCUCUCUGUUCUCUUUUAUUUCACGUUCGUGUUUCUAGCCCUUCACGGUUUCUUAAAUUCUCAGAGAUCCGUAACUCCGAUCGGGUUGAAGUUUUGAGGGGAUUUUUAUCCAGAAAUUAGCUUUCUUGUGGCCGAGGAAGAUCCCCAGCCAACUUAAGGGGCGCGCACUGGACACCACCCUGUGCCAGGGGGACCACACGCGCCCUGGUUUCUAGUGGAGGUUGCGGGCCUCCAUUUGCGUUGAUUCUGCCUCCCAAAAAUCAAAUAUAUACCAAAAUAAUUCUCCGUACAUUUUUAUCUGUUGGAAAUAUGCCCUAGAGGCAAUAAUAAAUUAGUUAUUAUUAUAUUUCUUAGUUCAUGAUAAUCGUUUAUUAUCCAUGCUAUAAUUGUAUUGAUUGGAAACACAAUACUUGUGUGGAUACAUAGACAAAACACUGUCCCUAGUAAGCCUCUAGUUGACUAGCUCGUUGAUCAAAGAUGGUCAAGGUUUCCUGGCCAUAGGCAAGUGUUGUCACUUGAUAACGGGAUCACAUCAUUAGGAGAAUCAUGUGAUGGACUAGACCCAAACUAAUAAGACGUAGCAUGUUGAUCGUGUCAUUUUGUUGCUACUGUUUUCUGCGUGUCAAGUAUUUGUUCCUAUGACCAUGAGAUCAUAUAACUCACUAACACCGGAGGAAUGCUUUGUGUGUAUCAAACGUCGCAACGUAACUGGGUGACUAUAAAGAUGCUCUACAGGUAUCUCCGAAGGUGUUAGUUGAGUUAGUAUGGAUCGAGACUGGGAUUUGUCACUCCGUGUGACGGAGAGGUAUCUCGGGGCCCACUCGGUAAUACAACAUCACACACAAGCCUUGCAAGCAAUGUGACUUAGUGUAAGUUGCGGGAUCUUGUAUUACGGAACGAGUAAAGAGACUUGCCGGUAAACGAGAUUGAAAUAGGUAUGCGGAUACUGACGAUCGAAUCUCGGGCAAGUAACAUACCGAAGGACAAAGGGAAUGACAUACUGGAUUAUAUGAAUCCUUGGCACUGAGGUUCAAACGAUAAGAUCUUCGUAGAAUAUGUAGGAUCCAAUAUGGGCAUCCAGGUCCCGCUAUUGGAUAUUGACCGAGGAGUCACUCGGGUCAUGUCUACAUAGUUCUCGAACCCGCAGGGUCUGCACACUUAAGGUUCGACGUUGUUUUAUGCGUAUUUGAGUUAUAUGGUUGGUUACCGAAUGUUGUUCGGAGUCCCGGAUGAGAUCAAGGACGUCACGAGGGUUCCCGGAAUGGUCCGGAAACGAAGAUUGAUAUAUAGGAUGACCUCAUUUGGUUACCGGAAGGUUUUCGUGCAUUACCGGAAAAGUUUCGGGCUCAUCGGUAGUGUACCGGGAGUGCCGGGAGGGGUGCCGGGGACCAUCGGGAGGGGUGUCACGCCCCAAGGGGUCUCAUGGGCUAUGGGAAGAGAUAAACCAGCCCCUAGUGGGCUGGAAUAAGUUCCCACUAAGGCCCAUAAGGUUUGAGAAGGAAAAAACACAAGGUGGAAAGAGUUUCCAAGUGGGAAGGUGGAAUCCUACUCCAAGUAGGAUUGGAGUAGGACUCCUCCACCUCCAAUUUCGGCCAAACCUUUAGGUUUUGAGGCUGCCUCCUCCCCUCCCUCCCACCUAUAUAUACGGAGGUUUUAGGGCUGAUUUGAGACAACUUUUCCACGGCAGCCCGACCACAUACCUCCACGGUUUUUCCUCUAGAUCGCGUUUCUGCGGAGCUCGGGCGGAGCCCUGCUGAGACAAGGUCAUCACCAACCUCCGGAGCGCCGUCACGCUGCCGGAGAACUCUUCUACCUCUCCGUCUCUCUUGCUGGAUCAAGAAGGCCGAGAUCAUCGUCGAGCUGUACGUGUGCUGAACGCGGAGGUGCCGUCCGUUCGGUACUAGAUCGUGGGACUGAUCGCGGGAUUGUUCGCGGGGAGGAUCGAGGGACGUGAGGACGUUCCACUACAUCAACCGCGUUCUCUAACGCUUCUGCUGUAUGGUCUACAAGGGUACGUAGAUCACUCAUCCCCUCUCGUAGAUGGGCAUCACCAUGAUAGGUCUUCGUGCGCGUAGGAAAUUUUUUGUUUCCCAUGCGACGUUCCCCAACAUUAUCACGGUUGGACUUUGUUUGAUAUGGACAUUCUGCGAAACAAAAAACAUGCAACAAAUAGGAACUGAUGUUUAGCACUGGAUCAAUAUGUUAGUCCAGUAUCUCAUAUAAAAUGUUGUGAAAAUAUGUAAAAGUUGAAUAAUAUUGGCAUGGAACAAUAAAAAAUUAUAGAUACGAUGGAGACGUAUCACCAGGCGAUAGUUCUUCCGCACAAAGAACACGGAAGAAAUAGCUCAGCUUUUCGAGUACAAGCCAUUCAUCCUUAGGAAUAAAGCCACGCAACAUCACUGACAUUACCCUCUCAAACCAUAUGUGCCAAUCAUGACUCUUGAGACCAAAUAUUUUAAUUUUUUCAAGACACACUCCCCUCUUUAGAUUCGUUGCAUACCCGCCGGGGAACAUCUACAUCAUUUUGACCCACGAGAUAAUUUCCCUCAUAGAUCCCCUUUUUAGAUUGAACCAGGCCUUUGGCUUCGACCAAUUCUGCUUUCCUUUCAACUGUUGCAUGUUUUGUAAUGGUCUAUCACAUAGAGUUUGUUAAUCGACUCUAUCCUUAGGAUUAUCCUUUGACUUCCCCUCUAUGCCGAACAAUAUACCAAAAUUGGCCUCUCCGAUAUUCUUUUUAGUGUGCCUCAUGUCGAUGUUGUGUGGAAGAAUAAGGUCUUUGAAGUAAGGCAUAUCCCACAAGCGUAUCUUGUGAGUCCAAGCGUGUUCCGAAUUAUACCCCUUGAAAUACCGUGGACGCUCUGGAUCAGGCUCAAGAGCGUUUAAAUUAUCCAAGAUCUGUUGGCCUGUCAACGCAGGUGGUGCCUAGUUUUUGAGAACUUUACCUUUGAUAAAGUUCUUCUUGUGUUUUCUAAAUUGAUGGCAAGGAUCCAGGAACUAUCUAUGCAAGUCGAAGCAAGAAUACUUCCGACCCGCCUGCAGCCUAUGAAACUGAAGAGUUGCCUUGCAUGUGGGGCAUGGGAACCUUCCAUGCACACACCAGCGAGCGAAUAUCGCAUACGCCAACAAGUCACGCAUCGAGUACAUGUACCACACAUGCAUUCGACAAUUUUCUUUUCUAGCGGCAUCGUAUGUCUUGAACCCAUUUUCCCAAGCUUCUUGCAGUUCAUCCUUAAGCGGAUGCAUGUACACAUUCAUAUUCUUCCCCACGUAGUUGGGCCCUGGAAUUAUCAAUGUCAGGAAUAUGUUCUUUAUUUGCAUAAUUUGUCCAGGGGGAGAUUGAGUGUAAUGACAAAUACAGGCCAACUACUGUAUUGGGUUUCCAUCAUACCAAAGGGAUUGAACCCAUCCGUGGCGACACAAACUCGAGGAUACCUUGGUUCUACUGCUUUAUCCAGAUGUACUGCGUCGAAGUGCUUCCACGCUUCCGCGUCCGACGUGUGUACCAACAUCUUAUUCUCAUCUGCAUCUAGUUCGGUUCUUUUUCCCAAUUUGUGCCAUGGCAUCUGUCUGGCCGUCUCUUCGACCAUGAAAAGACGUUGAAGUAUUGGUAUGAUUAGCAUAUACCGAAGAACAUCAACUGGGAUUUUGGCCCGCCUCUUCUCACCCAUACCGUUGUCUAACUCAAUAUACCUGGAAGACUUGCAAAUGGGACAAUAGUUCAAGUCUGCAUACUCAAGCCUAAAUAAGGUACAUCCUUUCUCACAUGCCUCUAUAUUCUCAUAGGGCAUCUUAAGUACACAUAGUAUUUUGUCCGACUGGUAUAGGUUUGCACGCAUGACAUGGCCUUUGGGUAGUAAGCGUCCAAAUAGUGUCAUCAUCGCGCGUAGAAUUCUCUACCAAAGUUGAAUUGAACCUUCCAGAGCCAUUACUUGUGCAAUGGCAUCCAGCUGACAAAGCUCAGUGUGCUCAUGGAGAGGACGUUUUGAAGACUCCAACAUUUCAUAGAAGGCCUUUGCAGAUUCCUCCAUCUCAUCAUCCGAAUCCCGAGCAUCAUCAAAGUCUUGCACCAUGUAUUCAAUCCCGGUACCAUGCUCGUCGGUGCAACGACGAACCACCUCAGCUCUGGUACGUUGGGAAAACUCGCCAUGAAAUGUCCACACCCUAUAAUUAGACGUAAAAUCCCUCUUCUGUAGGUGUUUACCCAUUUCAUCCUCUUUCAUAUUUUAAAGUAGUCGCAUCGAGGACAUGGGCACGAGGUUUUUCUCUGGCCAUUUGCAAAUGCGGCUUUCACAAUCCCCUUGGUUUUUGUUAACCAUUCUUUGGUCAUCUCUUUCUGACUAGUGUGAACAGUGUACAUCCAUGCACGAUCACUCAUCUUGCCAAGCUACAAAACACACAAGAAAUAUAUACAAUUCAGCACAUAUAUUCAUUAGUUAGUCAAGUUUGUUAGUUUUAUUACGUCCAUGCAACCUACACGCUAAUAGGUAAAGAUAGGUCCUAGUCCCACCAGAGGAUGUGUAGAUUGUGUUCGUUUUCCCAUGUUAUGUCCCGGAUCCGACGCAAAAUUUCGGCAGCACCUCCCCGUUGUUCUCAUGAUACAUGUCUCAGCAAAAAAAAGAGAGGACUUGUACCCGGAGAACAACAUGGAGGCACUGACAAAAUUAUGCAUCGGAUCCGGAGCAGAGCAUAUGGGAAAAACAAACCCAAUCUACACAUACUCGGGUUGUCCAUGGAUAACGUUGGACAAUUCAAAAGAAUCACAGUUAUAAAUAUAUACAAAUUCAUGCAUAUUUAUAACUGUAACCCUUUCGAAUGGGGAACACAUACUAGUCACGCAUACUGAUGAUUUAAUCUACCUAUAUCUAGCAAGUUUUAUCGGCAUGAAGACCGGAAUAAAGCAAAUGAAGGGGGAGGAGGAGAUGUCAUUUUUGCUCACCGGCGAACGCAGGGGCGGAGCUCGUCAAAUGCAUGGGGAGGUCGUCGAACACCGGACCCUCGUAGUGUCAAAACAGUUGAACAUUUAAAUCCACCCGAUCAACACGAACAUUCAAUCCCGAUAGAAAAGUCUCUCUGUAUAUAACUACUUUUCCACUUCUAUUUUAUUGCUUUUCUCCUCUAUUUCUUCUUCUUCUUCUUCAUUUUCUUCUCUUCUUCUUCUUAUUUUUCUUCUUCUCUUCUCCUCUUCUUCUUCUGCUUCUUCUCUUCUCCUCUUUUUCUACUACUUCUUCUUCUUCUUCUUCUUUUUCUUCCUUUCUCCUCCUCCUCCUGUUCUUCUUCUUCUUCUNCUUCUUCUUCUUCUUUCUUUCUUUCUUUCUUUCUUUCUUUCUUUCUUUUCCUUUUUCCUCUUCUUCUCCUCUUCUCUCCUUUUCUUCUUCUCUUCUUCUUCUUNNNNNNNNNNNUCUUCUUCUUCUUCCUCCUCCUAUUCUUCUUCUUCUUCUNNNNNNNCUUCUUCUUCUUCCUUGUUUUCUCUUCUUCUUCUUCUUCUUCCUUCUUUUCUCUUCUUCUUUCUUUUCCUUUUUCCUCUUCUUCUCUUUUUCUUCUUCUUCUUUUCUCCUCCUCCUCCUCCUACUCCUCUUCUUCUUCUUCNNNNNNNNNNNNNNNNNNNNNNNNNNNNNNNNNNNNNNNNNNNNNNNNNNNNNNNNNNNNNNNNNNNNNNNNNNNNNNNNNNNNNNNNNNNNNNNNNNNNNNNNNNNNNNNNNNNNNNNNNNNNNNNNNNNNNNNNNNNNNNNNNNNNNNNNNNNCUUCUCCUCUUCUUCUACUUAUUCUUGUUUUUUCAUCUUUAUCUUCGAACUAACCUAGUACUAACCUAGCUGUAACCUAGCACUAAGCUAAAAAAAUAGAUAAAAAACUAACCUAGCUAGGAGGAGGGGAGCGGUGGGGCGCGGGGGCGACGGUGUCCACUAUGGCAAGAGGAGACAUCGAUGGUGUCGGUCGGGAGGAGGAGGAGGCGGGGGGGCAGAGGAGGAGGAUGCGAUGGUGGAGUGGGGGAGNAGGAGGCGGUGGCGGCGGGCAACGGAGGAGGAGGAUGAGGCGGGGAGGUUGUGUUGGGAAGGAGAGUAGGCCGGAGGUGGGGGAGAGUGAGGCGGGUCGGGCCCAACAGAGGGAUAACCCCUCGCUUUGCCAUGUACCUUUCGUCGGGGCGGACAGCAAAGAGGUGGCGGCCAUCAGUUUUUCUUUGACCGAGCCUUAGGUUGAUACUUUGCCGUCUACCUUCUUCUUAGAUGUCGUCAGCCAAUUCUUUGCCGUCAGCUUUUAGAUCCUUUGUCUUCCGCUAGUAGACGACAAAGAAGGGACUGAUGGUAAAACAUAUAUUUACCAUGAGUCUUUUAUUUGCCGUUUACUUUUGAGAAGCUGUCGGCAAAGUUCGUUCGUUGUCGUCCGCUAGCAAACGACAAAGAGUGGACUGAUGGCAAAUUUUGUGUUUCAAGUAGAGAUAGUGGGCCAAACUAAACUGAUGGAUUGAACAGAAAUACAAAGCUGUAUCAAUCAUGCAUAUAAGAAUUUAGAGAUGGCUCAAAUAGUUUUCAUGAAUAAUAUGAUCAUAAACCCAUGAUACAUCGGAUCCCAACAAACACACCACAAAGAAGAUUACAUCGAGUAGAUCACCGCAAGAAUCACGGUGAACUUUGUAUUGAAGAACAUAGAGAGAGAUAGCCAUCUAGGUACUAGCUAUGGACCCGUAGGUUUGUGGUGAACUACUCACACUACUAGGGAAAAGCCUAGCAGUACCGCGUGUUAGGGUAUUUCUCCCUUAGUGGUUUUGGUGAUUGAUGACAAUGCUUUUGCAGACUAAUCAUGUGGUUUAAGCGUGCUAAAUAUGGCACAAAAUGAUUAUAGCUCUUCGAUGGAUAUAAUGAAGAUUAUUAUUUUCCCGCCUUUCAUUUUCCAUGGAAUCGAGUCAUUGCAGAACCAUACUAUUAAGAGGGGGUCCGCAUUGGAAAGGUUUGGGUGGAAUCAACACGUACACUUUCAUUUGCACCCUUGUUCCUUUCCCGCUUCAAUGGAGUUGUUCCAACGUUGCCUUUGUUCUGGUCCUGGAGAAGCCAAGUGGUAGUAUACCGCUCAGAAGCGGUAGUACGGCUUACCUCGUAAGCGGUAGUACCGCUCUCGGGUGGUUCACUGGUGCUACUGCCGCCCCUGAGCGAUAGUAGAUCUAUCCAGUGCUGCGCUCGGUACCAUUGGCGUUGGAGUCUUGACUAUUCGUGUUGGAUUGAGCGAUUUUUGGCCAAUAGUAUAGCGUGGUAGUAUCGCCUGCUAGUAUCGCGCCACUACUGCUCUUUGUUCUGGUCCAAGACCUCUCAGCGAACUCAGGGCAUCAGUAGGGCGAGGUACUAUCGCCUAUAAGCGAUAGUACCGCUCUUGCGAGAGAUGCUACCACUCAGGCGAUACUACCUCUGGUCCUACCGCUGGCCUAUGUUUGUAGAGCUGCUGCACUAUGGGGACCCUGACUCAUAAGCCGAGAUCACCUGUCACACCCUAUUUUCACCAUCACUUCUUUUGUAAUUGAAAAAUCUGAGUUUAUUAAAACUUUUCAAAACUAAUGUUGUGAGUGCCAUGGUUGUCAUUGUAUGCUUGUAUGCUUGGUUGUGUGAUAUCAAAAACAUAUUUCUCAUAACUUAAUUAUUUUCAAACCCUUUUUCUUAAUUCUGGUUAAAUUCAAAACCCUGCUUUGGGUUGCACUACAAGUCUUUGAUGGCAAGAAGUGCUCUUACCCAAAGUUGGUGAUGUGGUUCUAACACCAUUUUAGUUCACCAAAACCAUAAUAAUAAUUAUUAUUUUAUGAAUUAUUUUCCUAUUUUAUUUGCAUGUACAUUUCUCAGGCCAGAAAUGAUAUUACUAUAAGGAAAAAUACUUUUCCGCCUUAAAAAAAUCUGAGGAAAUUUGGAGAUACUCAGAAGGACAUAUAUUUUCAAUACAUAAGAUUUUCAACCCCUAUUUAUAUUAUAAAUAUUUGAGUAAAACCCUGAAAACUCAUUAUGUCUGUUUUGAUCUUUUGAAAUAUUUCCAAAGGAAAUAUUCUCAAUAAAUUCCUAGAAAAUUCCAGUGGUCUCCCUAAGCCAUAUUUGGUGCCCAUAUAAAGAUUCACCUUGAUCCAAGGUGGUUAAGGUAACCAAAUAAUCCCAAAACCCGUUCUGUCCAGAAUGAAAUUAGAGCAACUCUACAUAGCAAAGUUUAUCCAAUGGAGCUGAAACUUUGCGUAAGUGCCUAAUACCUCAAAUGAGGCCUCCAUGCCAAAAAAGGGAUUUGUGGGACAUGAUUUGCCCACACUCCCUUUGGAAGGAACAGAUCUGGUCAUUUAGGGAUGUUUUCAAGUUUACAAAGCUAAACUUGUCCAAUGGAGCUCAAAAUUGGUGUAGCCUCAUAUUUUAGCACCAAACUGGAAGCGGCCAAAGGAGCACGGCCACGAAUGCGUGCCACUCCUCUCUCCCACUCUCUCGCAAUGAGUCCUGGAGGUCCAAAACCACGCCCGGAGACCGUGGUUUCGAUCCCAGCCUCUCUCUGCACCCCAUGCAUGCCACGGUGGAUCACUGGCGCUCCCGAGUCGGCUCACCAUCGCGGGCCUAUUUAUAGCCCUCCCCUCGCUCCAUAACCCCUCACUCUACCUCACCGAGAUCUCAAUCACCUCCCUAGCCACCCCAUUUCGCAAGCAGAGUCCCGGUACUCGAGAUCGACCGAGGCCCCUCCGCCUCAGAGCUCCGGUCGAUCUCCGGCUACACGUCGGUUCUCGCGUCCCUCUGCCCACCUACACACGCCCCGUGCCCCUAGGAAGCUUUCCCCUCUCUUCCCAGAGCGAAUCCCUGCCCGUAGCUACCACCUCCACCUUCACCCGAAACCUCUCCACCGCGGCAACCUCGUCGCCGGUGAACCAGAGCCCCUCCUUCGUCGACUAGACCACCAACAGGUAGGCGACGACGAGCCGGACCCAUUCCUACCGUUGUUAGGGCCUGAGGACGUCGGUAGCCACGCCGCCGUGCUCCUCCUCCUCUCUGUCCAGAGGUAGGAGACGACCCCGACAGGUGUGCCCCACCCGUCGGUGACCCAUCUCUCUCUCCCUUGUUCCACGCAGCCACUGACCGUAGCGGCCCGCGCGUCAGGUUCAAACCUGACGGCGCGCACGCCUGGGCAGGCUGGUUGGCUGGCCACUUGGCCGGCCCAGUCCGAGGACGAGCCAGGGCGGGGCCGUUGCCUUUUUCUUUUUAUAUAAAACCUGGUUUUUAAAUGAUUUUUAUAAAAAUAUUUAUCUAGUAUAAAUUUAUGAUUCUUCCACUAUUAUUUUUCUAAAAAUAUGUAGUAUUUAAUAGAACCCUUGGUUGAAGUUUUGUAACAACUAUUCUGUUUAACUGUAAUUAAAAGGGUUAAUUUGGAAUAGUUUUGCUUCUAUUUUAUUGAUUUAUAAAAUAUUAUUUCACUAAAACCAGAGACAAAUAUUUUUAAAAUAACAAUGUGGAUUUAUCAGAAUUAAACAACAUUUUUAAAGUGACUUUGUGAUCUGUUUUGGAGUGAGCUACUUAUUGCUUUUAUUUAAAACGGUGAUAGAAAACCCGUGUGACGAAGGAGUUGGACUUGAAGACCCCGAAGACCUCGGAUACCUAGAUGACCAAGGCAAGCAUCCCUUUGACCAUGUUUGAGCAUAUAAUAUAUUACAUGCUAGUUAAUAUUUCCGUUGCAUGUGAUCAUAAGUAUCGGUAAAUCAUUAAUGUGAUGUUACCGAUGGCUCCUCCGGAGCACAUGCAUUUUGGGCAUGAUCCUACCACCUAUGAGGAUCACGCUAAUACCAUGUUGACAAGUAGAGUUAAGCAUAAUAGUAGCAUUAGCAUGAUGAUGCUAUAAAAUCAAAGGUUUAUGAAAACCCCGUCGGGUGCCACUAAUGCCCGGGGUGAUGAUGAGUUAGGUGGCCACUUUUGGUGAAGUGGUGCACCGAGUAUUUUGAGUGUGUAUGGUUUCGGAAAUGGGAUUAGAUUUAUGAUGUGUUGACCGUCCCAACCUUAUAUGUACGACCACGUUACCCCUUUAUGGGACGGGGCUUUGUUGAUUACUCUGGUCGGUGCUAGCAAAGAACCACAUUACUAGUGGAGAGAGUGAUGUGUGGUCACUCUCGUGAUGGGGUUGUGCCAAGAAGGGCGACUAUGUCGUGUUUACGUGUUCCAGGCACACCGUUGGUCCCCGCAUGGUUGAUACUGUCCAGAGUCGGUGCUCUUAAGACGUACAACAUGUGGGCUGGGUACCAAUCAAGUGGACCUCUUUGUCUAGUAUCAUCAGGGGAAAGGCAUUGAUUCGGUACUUACGUCGAUAUGUUGUAUACCGCGAGUCGUGGUUGACAUGGAAGUUCCCCGGAUCUCAUGGGUCCAGCAUACUACCUCUGCAGAGUGUAAAACUAUUCGAAUAGCCGUGUCCACGGUCAAGGACAGUUGGGUAAUCCUCCUUAAACUACGUCCAGGCGUUUCCGUAUAAACCAAGUGUGUGUGACUGUGUGGUGUUAAUAUGAAACAGUUGAUAUGACCAAGUUUGAUGACUUGGCAUAUAAGGUGAACCCGGAGUGUUCAGCCCUUGACAGAUAUAUUGAUAUAUGUAACCUAUUUUUCUAAUCAACAUCUAGUUUAUGAUGCAUAUCCAUGAACAAGUUUAUUCAUAGACAAGUUGUUAUCCACCGAAGCUGCAUAUUACUUGUUAUACUACCAAUUGCAUUGUUCAUAUCAUGGGAUGUGUGCGAGUACAUUCAAAAGUACUCAUUGGCUUGCCAUUGGUUAUAUUAUUGACCAGACACGGAAGGACCGGAGUUUGGAGUGGAGUAAGUCUUCGGAGACGGUCCUGCGAACUAGGACGCUUCCCAGUCAGAAUGUGUGUUGGUGUAGGCUGAUGGCAUGGGCACCCGCCUAGCCCUAAGAUUUCCGCUACUAGUUGUAUCAGUGUGAUUGGCCUUAUAGGCCCUACCUUGUGAACUUGACCAUUCGGUCAUGUGAUGUAAUAACUCGAUACUUGGAUGUAAGACUCUUAAUAUUCAAUAUAUGUGUGUUCGGUGAGCAUUGAUAUCUGGGAUCACUGAGCAUCUUCAUUCGGCGAUCUCGACUCGUAAGUCGGGGUCCACACAGAGCUGGUAUCAGAGCCAUCCUAACUAUAGGAAGCCUUAGGUAGCAUGGACGAUAACCGAGACGAUUAGUACACCUAGACUUUACCCCCUGAGAUUUUCUGCACACACCAAAAUUUUCUAACCCUCUCUCCUACAUCUUUGUAGAUGGUCGUCGUACCUGAGAUGCUUCUAGAGACGGGCUUUCCCCUACUUUUGGGAGAUAGCCUCGAGAAGUGUCAAGUACGCUGCACGCCCAUCUUCCUCUACCACGAGCACUGGGUCAACGCCGAGACCAAGGAAUAUCACGUGGACGUGAUAGUGAAGGCUAAUGACUCCCCAACUAGCUGGUUCUUUGAAGGACCACAGAUGGAGGAUCUGAUGUUGGCAGUGGAGACAGCCGCAUGAGAGGCGCUUGUGCGUCUCCGUGACAUCCUUCCCGCGAUGGCUAACGAGCCAGCUACUCGUCACCUACCUUUUAUUAAGGAUGGGAUUGACGGGAGUUGGACACUCAACCCAUCUUCACAGGACGGGACGCCACUAAGGUUUCAGACCUACUUCAGUCUCUCCUCCGACACCUUGACUCACCUUUUCAUCAAGGAGUCGACGAAGAUCUGCCAAGAACUGCACCUAGUCAAGGACCUACUUCGCCUGGAGAAGAUGAGGACCCGCAAGGUCAAGAAGGAAGGAGCACCCGAAGGGCGAUCAACCAUUGCCUUCUGAGGAGGAGUACCACCGCUUCAGGCCACUCCUAUUCAGAGUCACCGCCUGCCCGCGAAAGAGUACAUUGAGCUCCUCACUUCUUAGCCAACUAAGAGACACCGUGAUGGACCAUUUCCUUCUCCUACUCCUCUCAAGGUGGAAAGCACUGAUGAAGAUGAAGACGAAGACCCUGCAGAAUCCGCCUACGAGACCGAGCAGUCUACCGCUUAGGAUUACGGCUUAGGAAAUUACGAGUCCCCCCAAGCGUAGUGAGUCCAUGUAUCGGUUCACGUAAACCAUGAGUGCUGUGUGAGCAUGUAUGAUGCAAGCCGCAUUUCUUCCUUAGGCAUCUUGUAAGCGAAUACAUCACUUGUUUUUAAAUCUAAUGCAUUAGCUUUUCCCGAAAAUCUUUGGUUUACAAAUCUCACACUAGCACGACACCAACCCACCCUUAAUAGAGCAUCAUCCCUUAUGAUUCCGGCCAAUUCGGCAUAUUGACUUGUCUACUCCCCUGACAGGAUGGUGAUUUCAACUUGCACCAGCACCUUCGGCAACCCCGGCUCUGCCUCUUCAGGCUAGCAGCAGGGAACCGGAGGGGACACGCAAGCUGGAGAUCACCACGAGCAGCAGCAAGGCGAUAUUCCACCGCCACUGCCUCCUCUAGAAAGCUUGACUAUGGCUCAGUUCCUUCAAGCUCUCUGAGAGGAACGUCAAGCCAGUAAUGCCGCUAUCCAGCAGCUGGCUCAAGUCCUGGUGAACAAUCUGCCGCAGAACGGAAAUGGCAACGGUCGCUCUACUCUAUCUGAGUUUAUGCAGACUACGCCUCCCAUAUUCACAGAGGCUACUGAACCAUUAGAUGCCGAUGACUUGAUCCAUACUAUCGAAGACCUCCUUGCGCUGGUCAAGUGCAAUGAUGACCACGAGGAAGUCCUUUAUGAUUCUCAUUGUCUCGGAGGCACGACCAGAGCUUGGUGGGAUGGGUUCUAGAUCAUGCAAGCAGGACAAGUCAUCACUUGGGCGAUGUUGAAGGGAGGAUUCCGCGCUGCUCACAUUCCUUCUAGAAUGAUGACCAUUAAGAAGCGGGAAUUCCGAGCCUUAAGGAAAGAUAGUGGAACCGUCAAGGAGUAUCUGCAGAAGUUCAACCUCCUGUCAAGAUAUGCACCAGAGGAUAUCAACACUGAGGCCGCAAAAGUGGAACACUUUAUGGAAGGACUGCAUCAGUCACUCCAGUAUCAACUGGUUGUUUGUGAAUGCCGAACCUUCUGCGAUCUGGUUAAUAAGGCCCUUAUGUUGGAAGAUAAGCGUCGUGCAAUGGACGACACCCGUAAGCGCAAGCUGAUGGGUAGUGGAGGACCUAGUAAUCCGAAGCCACGCCCAUGGCAGUCAGUCCCAGCAAUAUAAGGAUCCAACGUUUCGCGAGAACUACCAGCCUCAGCAGAAAGUCAACACCAAGCCAGCAUUCAACCCACCGAACAAGAGUGGAGUCAAGACCAAUCUUCUAGGACAGGUUACCUGUUUUGAAUGUGGACAGACUGGGUACUACUCCAGGCAGUGUCCCAACAAGAAGCCCGACGCACCGCGCCCCAAUGCGCCAAAUCAAGGUGAAGGAGCACCAGGCAAGAACCAAGCACCCCGCAAGCAACAGUAUCACAAUAGGGGACGUAUUAAUCAUAUCUCCGCAGAAGGGGCACGGGAAUACCCGAACUGCAUUUUGGGUACGUUCCUCGUCAAUUCCACCCCAACAACAAUAUUGUUUGAUUGUGGUGCUUCACACUCUUUUGUUACUCAGAAGUUUGCGAAACAAUGUGGUUUGAAGCCUACCCUGCUUAACGGACAAAUGGCAGUACAUACCCCGGGAGCAGUGUUAAGGACCAACCUAGGGAGUAGAGGAGUCGGGAUCGUUAUCAAUGGGAUAAGCUUCUUAGUAGAUCUCAUCGUCAUUAAGUCGCAAGGCUUAGAAGUAAUCCUUGGAAUGGAUUGGUUGGCCAAACACCAGAGCAUCUUGGAUUGUGCCAACAGGGCUAUUACCAUGACAAGCGGUCAAGGGGUCAAAGUAAAGUAUGUCUCCGAGCCUGUAUCCACUCGAGUAACGCAGGUUAAUAGCCUGUCGGGAGAAGAGUUGGAUUGAGUGCCGAUAGUCUGUGAGUACCCGGACGUCUUUCCUGAUGAGCUGCGAGGGAUGCCUCCUGACCGAGACAUCGAGUUCAUCAUUGAUCUCAUGCCCAGAUCGAAGCCUAUCUAUAAGAAGCCUUAUAGGAUGGGAUCCGAUGAGCUAGCAGAGGUGAAGAAGCAGUUGGAUGAACAACUCAGGAAGGGAUUCAUUCGUCUGAAUGCAUCACCUUGGGGAUCACUUGUUCUGUUCAUGUCUAACAAGGAUGGGAGUAUCAGACUCUGCGUCAAUUACCGUUCUCUCAAUGAAGUCACAAUCAAGAACAAGUACCCACUCCCCAAGAUUGAAGACUUGUUUGACCAGUGAAAUGGAGUCAAGGUAUUUUCCAAGAUCGAUCUCCGAUCUGGAUAUUACCAAGCUGAAGAUCCGACCUGAAGACAUACCCAAGACUGCAUCUUGUAAGUGAAUACAUCACUUGUUUUAAAAUCUAAUGCAUUAGCUUUUCCCAAAAAUCUUUGGUUUACAAAUCUCACACUAGCACGACACCAACCCCCCCUUAAUAGAGCAUCAUCCCUUAUGAUUCCGGCCAAUUCGGCAUAUUGACCUGUCUACUCCCCUGAUAGGAUGGUGAUUUUAACUUGCACCAACACCUUCGGCAACCCCGGCUCUGCCUCUUCAGGCCAGCAGCAGGGAACCAGAGGGGACGCGCAAGCUGGAGAUCACCACGAGCAGCAGCAAGGCGAUAUUCCACCGCCACUAUCUCCUCUAGAAAGCUUGACUAUGGCUCAGUUCCUUCAAGCUCUCCGAGAGGAACGUCAAGCUAGUAAUGCCGCUAUCCAGCAGUUGGCUCAAGUCCUGGUGAACAAUCUGCCGCGGAACGGAAAUGGCAACGGUCGCUCUAUUCUAUCCGAGUUUAUGCAGACUACGCCUCCAAUAUUCACUGAGGCUACUGAACCAUUAGAUGCCGAUGACUGGAUCCAUACUAUCGAAGACCUCCUUGCGCUGGUCAAGUGCACUGAUGAUCGUGAGGAAGUCCUUUAUGAUUCUCACUGUCUCGGAGGCACAACCAGAGCUUGGUGGGAUGGGUUCCAGAUCAUGCAAGCAGGACAAGUCAUCACUUGGGCGAUGUUCAAGGAACGAUUCCGCGGUGCGCACAUUCCUUCUGGAAUGAUGACCAUUAAGAAGAGGGAAUUCCGAGCCUUAAGGACAGAUAGUGGAACCGCCAAGGAGUAUAUGUAGAAGUUUAACCUCUUGUCAAGAUAUGCACCAGAGGACAUCAGCACUGAGGCCGCAAAAGUGGAACACUUUAUGGAAGGACUACAUCAGUCACUCCAGUAUCAACUGGUUGUUUGUGAAUGCCGGACCUUCUGCGAUCUGGUUAAUAAGGCCCUUAUGUUGGAAGAUAAGCGUCGUGCAAUGGACGACACCCGUAAGCGCAUGCUGAUGGGUAGUGGAGGACCUAGUAAUCCGAAGCCACGCCCAUGGAAGUCACCCCCAGCAAUAUAAGUAUCCAACAUUUCACCAGAACUACCAGCCUCAGUAGCAAGUCAACACCAAGCCAGCAUUCAACCCACCGAACAAGAGUGGAGUCAAGACCAAUCUUCUAGGACAUGUUACCUGUUUUGCAUGUGGACAGACUGGGUACUAUUCCAGGCAGUGUCCCAACAAGAAGCCCGACGCGCCGCACCCCAAUGCGCCAAAUCAAGGUGAAGGAGCACUAGGCAGGAAGCAAGCACCCCGCAAGCAGCAGUAUCACAUCAGGGGACGUAUUAAUCAUAUCUCCGCAGAAGGGGCACGGGAAGACCCGAAUUGCAUUCUGGGUACGUUCCUCGUCAAGUCCACCCCAGCAGCAAUAUUUUUUGAUUGUGGUGCUUCGCACUCUUUUGUUACUCAGAAGUUUGCAAAAAAAUGUGGUUUGAACCCUACCCUACUUAACGGGCAAAUGGCAGUACAUACCCCGGGUGCAGUGUUAAGUACCAACCUAGGGAGUAGAGGAGUCGGGAUCGUUAUCAAUGAGAUAAGCUUCUUAGCAGAUCUCAUCGUCAUUAAGUUGCAAGGCUUAGAAGUAAUCCUUCAAAUGGAUUGGUUGGCAAACACCAGAGCAUCUUGGACUGUGCCAACAGGGCUAUUACCAUGACAAGCGGUCAAGGGGUCAAAGUCAAGUAUGUCUCUGAGCCUGUGUCCACUCGAGUGCCGCAGGUUAAUAGCCUGUCGGGAGAAGAGUUGGAUUGAGUGCCGAUAGUCUGUGAGUACCCGAACGUCUUUCUUGAUGAGGUGCCAGGGAUGCCUUCCGACCAAGACAUCGAGUUCAUCAUUGAGCUCAUGCCCAGAUCGAGGCCUAUCUAUAAGAAGCCUUAUAGGAUGGGAUCUGAUGAGCUAGCAGAGCUAAAGAAGCAGCUCGAUGAACAACUCAGGAAGGGAUUCAUUCGUCCAAGUGCAUCACCUUGGGGAUCACUUGUUCUGUUCAUGUCUAACAAGGAUGGGACUAUCAGACUCCGCGUCAAAUACCGUUCUCUCAGUGAAGUAGAAAAGACCUCGAUGACGCCUAGAGGGGGGUGAAUAGGCUAUUUAAAAACUUCUUCGGAUUUGGCUUGAAACUAAUGCAGAAAUAAACUAAGAGGGUACUUGUCAAGCAAAAAUCCUGAAUGCACUAGGCACUGCAACGUGUAUCAACAACACGAUCUACCAAGAUGGACACAAUACAAUUACUAACAAGCACAAGUAAGUUACACAAACUUACUUGAGCUAUGUCACACGACAAGUAGGUAAACAACACAANUAAAUAUAACUUAAGGAAACCAUUAGUCCAUAGGAAUUGUCAUCAAUUACCAAAACCACAUAUGGAGAUAUAUGCUCUAACAAUGUCCCCCAUUUUGGUAAUUGAAGACAACCAGUGCAAGAAGAUGGAUGAGACAAUAAUCAUAUUGAUUGCACAAAACCAAUGGUUGAGCAACAUGUAAAAGAAGCAACUUAAGAAUAGGCUCAACCAAACUAAUGUGUGUGAGUCAUGGCAAAGCACUUGAGAAGACUAAGAUAAGGAUGAGCAUUACUCAUCAACAUAGUCUUGAUGAAAUGAGAUACAAAGUGCAAGACAUAUCAUUCCCACACACACAUACUAGAAAAUGGGUUCACAAGCUUACUAAUAAACAAAAUACGAACCAACGCUUGUGACAACCCAUUGUGAAGAUAGAAAGUAGGAACCUUGUCAAGAGGAGAGAUACUAAUUGAAAUGGCAAAACCCUCAUCAAGACAAGCAUGAGGAAAAAUAACCCUCACGGCCAAAGAGUGCAUCAAGAUGUAGGAAAAUAAGAUACGCACUCAAAAUAAAACUUUUCACGAAGCCACCAAAAGCUGAAAAAGGAAAUGCAAUGAUGAUCGUGAAAGAAAAGAGGAUAUUAAUUAGAGAUGUAACUUCUCUCAUGUGUAAAAGAUUCUAAGUAGAAGACAAUCAAGAUGAUAUAUAUCCAUAAAGAAGGAUGUACACACUAAAUGGUUACAAGAAGGAACAAACUAGAUAUCCAAAAGGAAGUCAUAAAUAUAUCAAUGAGAUCUUUUGCUUGGAAGCAUAGCACAUGGCCUAAUAUUUUCUUAUUGUACAAUAUGAACUUCCAACAUACGAACAUCAAAGACAUCCCAACUAGUAGUAAGACAUCAUCGUUCAGAUGCUUUGAGAAAGCAAACAAGUACUACGAGAACAAAUCAAGAGAUUCAUGCCAUGAUGCAACCUGGAAAAGAAAAGACAGGUUGGGUCCUUUGCAAGAAAAGGAUGCAUGAAGUGGAUACUUGUUACCGAGACAACAUUGGAUUGAUGUAGUAGAUAGUUGUUCUUUGAUCAUCCUAACUUGGCUCCAAUGAUCACAUGGUCUCAACACCUUCCUUAUAGAUGAGCCGAGCAUCCAAUGCAUCUCCAGUUAUUCCUAGAACAGCAAAACAAACAAAAUGGUGCCCAAACUCAUUGGGACCAAAGAGUUAGAAAACCAGCAAUACAUAGGACAAACUCCACAUACAUAUGUGCAUAUAGAUAUGAAUUUGAAUUUCAUGCACACUUUAGCCAAUUUAUGACAAGGUGGAGUUUUUCCUAUAUAUUGGGUCAAAGAAGGAAAGCAAGCAAAAGAAGUUGUAUAUAGUUUCUAUAUAGUAUCUAGAUACGCAUGCUCAAGACUCACAAAAAUCAACUCAACACAAAGUUGAUAAGUCACCAAAAGACAAGGUAUCAAGUGAUAAUAAGAUCCUAAAACAAAAGGAACUAUCACUUGAAGGAUAUCAAUUAAAAGAUACCUCAAGGAAUGAGAUAUCCAUUGACACAUGCCAAAUAGAAGGCAACAAGAAACCAACUGAAGGAAAACAAACACGAGGUAUCUAGUUUCCAAAAGAAAGCUAGGUUCCAACAACCCAAGCCCUCGACAAAUUUUCAUGAUGGCACAAAUCAUCAUAAAGAGCAAGACUUGCCUCUCAUCAACAUACACUUGAUGGGGAUCAAAAGAUUUUAUGAUGGGUGAAUAAAGAGAGCGUUCUAAAGAAAAUAGGAUAGCUCCUCCAAGGGACGUGCAUUAUAUAGAAUUUGCAUUUGAAUACAAAACGCACACGAUGGGAUCAUCACUUUCUCUAUAUCUAUAAAAACACUAGACAUGUUAAAACAGAUUCAUAAGAGGCAAGGAAGACAAACGAAACACAAAAUCCAAUGUAAAGAUGAUUAGCAAUUCCUAUCACAUGAUGGGAAUACCAAUUGUCAAGGACACGAAGUAUUUUCGAAGUGAUACUCAUUGGUAGAUCACAAAUAUAUCCAAGAUCAUCUUUACCCAUAAAACGCAAGCAAAUGACACUUGUAGAGCUAACAUGCCACCUAGGAACAAGAUAAUUUACAGUAUCAACACUAAGUGGCAACACGUCAAAUGUACACAUUUUCUAGGUUUCUAAUAUGCACAUAGCAUAUUACUCCCCCAUAAUGUGAUAAACCAACAACAUUAACAAGUGGAAAAUUAAAACCAACAAGAGAUACUUAAUGGACCAUAUAGAAUUUGAAUUUCUCAUGAGUAAGACAUACCACAUAGAAACUAGAUAAUCUUGAAGUGUCAAAACUAAGUGGCAUUCCCCAUGUAUACACAUUUAUAGGAUUGUGAGGUGUGAAAAGCACAUCACUCCCCCACAAUGGGAUAAUCCAUUAAUCUCUCACAAGAGCCAAAAAAAAUAUAAACAAGAUGCAAAAAGGCUCAAUACAAGACUCACAUGUACAUGAUAUGCAAACCAACAUACCCAUACUUGAUUACUCAAGAUAAGCAAGUUGGAAGCACAACAUAUACAAACGCAUGCAAGGUACAAAACCACAACAUGCAAAGGGGAGAGCACCUAACAAUGUAAACAGUUUAAGUAUAAGUUACCGUAAGGAGGCACAUUGGAUAUAAGAUAGAAACUCGAUAAUCCAAAUGACUUGGCUUGAGAUAAUAUGAAUGAUGAAGAACCCUUAAUUCUUCAUUAUGUAUCCAAGUCUCUAAUGUCCUCCAUAGUCACCUAUUGAUCAAGUUUGAGCUUGUUGGUCCCCAACUAUGUUGGGUCCUAAGAGGUUAAUCACAAUAGGCUUGGCAACCCAAAUGGUUCUUUUCUUGACACCAUUUUGAGUACCAACAAACUUGGCAAACACAUUGCCAACCUUAUCCUUCCCAAGGGAAUAGAUAUCAUCAAUAGUGAUUGGGUUGGAUAAGUUACCUCUCGUGCAAGACGAAGUGACGUGACCCUUCUCACGACAUAAGUAGCAACAUCUACCCUUUGUUUUCUUCCCAGUUGAUUUGGGAAGAGGCCUUUCUUCAACUUGUAGUUGAAUAUGUGAUUGAGUUUGUGGCCGCUUCCCUCGUUGCUUGUGACUUUGAGACUUCGUCUUCAGAGGGCAAGAUCUAACAUGGUGCCCUUUAACUUUGCACUUGAAGCAAAUGAUUUUGGUCGAAUUCUUGACUUGUUCUAGGCCCCUCUUGUUCUUGUUUGAGUUUACUCCAACAUCAUUUUUGUCAUUCGGUGAUGUUUGCUCACACAGGACGUUGUUGAGUGUGGACAUCCCUUCAUGCCACUGUUCCAAGUCUUUCUUCAAAGAAGUGACUUGGGCCUUGAGCUCUUCGAUUUCCUCUGCACGGUUAGUAUCAAUGCAAGUACUAGAGGAAGUGUAAGCUUUAAUGUUAGAGCAACAAGGCAAGAAAAGUAAUUCAUCACACGAGGUAGCAACAUUAUGAGUAGACGAAUUACGAGGACUAGCACAUGUAAAUAUAGUACUUUGACUAGAAGUAGUGCCAUUGUCCACAUGAGGCUCACUUGAUGUUACCUUGGUCAUGAUAGCCUCAUGAGCUAACUUUUGCACAUUAUGGGAUGUUAGAAGAUCGGCAUGAGAGCUUGUGAGCAUUACAUGGUUUUCUUCCAACUUCCCAUUAUUGCUAGUUAGUAAAUCAAGUUGAGCACGUAGCUCAACAUUCUCCUUCAAUGUUGAUACUUCAAAAGAGAUAGGGUUAGAUGUACAAGUAUCAUCAACAAUAUGAGAGGAGUAAGUAGAGAUUAGAGACUUCUCAUGAGUAGAUUGAAGUUCCUCAAAUAUCUUAGAGGUUUUGACGAGCUCUCCCUUGACAUUCUUGCAUUCAAGGAGAAGGACCUCAAAAUCCCUUUUAAGUUUAUCAUGAGCAGCUUCAAUCUCUCCUUUUGAAGAUCUUAAGUCUCUACAUGCUUGAUGACUCUUCUCAAGUUCAUGUUCAAGUUGUUAACUUUUAGCUUGUUCAUGAUUAAGUGAAUCAUUACAAUUUUCAAAGUAAGCAAGAACAUCUUGGAACCUUUGAAGAGCGUUAUUUUUAGCUUUAUGAAGAAUUUUACUGAUCACAUAGAUAUUUUCAGUCAAGUCAUCAUCAUCAUCCUCAUCGCAAAUAUCAUCGUUAUUGCACAGGGAAGAUGAUACCUCAUUAUUACCUCUUGCCAUGAGGCACAUGUGAACUGGAGGAGUUGAUGAUGAUUCUUUUGGUGAAUCAGAUUCUUCAUUAGUCAAAAGUGCUUCAUAUUUCUUGAUUUCCCCUAAAUGAUUAGUCAUAGAGCAACUAGGGAGAAACAAGAUAUUUUGAUCAAGAGGACACGAGGAAGCAGACAUAUCACCACAGACAUUUGUCGAGGGAUCUUUAGGUGAAAUACAUGACCUAUCAGCACAAUAAUUUACACUAUGUGUGGUGCUAGAUAUGCUCGUGUCCAUUGAGGCUAUGACAUUUUCAUCAACAUAUAUUUCUUCACUCACCAUGUCAUUACCUUGUGAGAUUGAAGAUGCUGAGGUGUGCAAGCAAUCGGAUAUGGAAGUAGUGGUGGACUCUUCAAGAUCGAAAAGAGUGAAGAGCUCAUGCACCAACUCCUUCAUCAUAAUACCGUCUUCAUCAAGAUUGGAACCACCAUAUAUAUCUUCAAGUUUAGUCCAAACUUCAUGAGAUGCCUUGCAAGUCGAGAUAGACUUAAACACUUCAGGACUUAUGGUUCGAUGAAUGGCAAGAAAAGCCUCACAAUCAAGAUACAUUUCAUUAGUAGAUGAAGAUGCAUCAUCCUUUUUGUCGGCAAUCCCUACAAGAACAAUUCGUAAAGUAUUUGGGCCCAUGGCCCGAAAGUGAUGAAGCAUAUGAAUUCUCCAUAUGGUAUAAUUUGUGCCAUCAAAGUCAAAGAUGCCAUUGUGCACUAAUCCAAUAGUCGACAUCGAUACUCUCUAGGUCGUGAAACAUAAUUAAAGAGAGACCUAGCUCUGAUACCAAUUGAAAAGACCUCGAUGACGCCUAGAGGGGGGGUGAAUAUGCUAUUUAAAAACUUCUUCGGAUUUGGCUUGAAACUAAUGCGGAAAUAAACUAAGAGGGUACUUGUCAAGCACAAAUCCUAAAUGCACUAGGCACUGCAACGUGUAUCAACAACACGAUCUACCAAGAUGGACACAAUACACUUACUAACAAGCACAAGUAAGUUACACAAACUUACUUGAGCUAUAUCACACGACAAAUAGGUAAACAACACAANUAAAUAUAACUUAAGGCAACCAUUAGUCCAUAUGAAUUGUCAUCAAUUACCAAAACCACAUAUGGAGAUAUAUGCUCUAACAGAAGUCACGAUCAAGAACAAGUACCCACUCCCCAAGAUUGAAGACUUGUUUGACCAGUUAAAUGGAGCCAAGGUAUUUUCCAAGAUCGAUCUCCGAUCUGGAUAUUACCAAGCUGAAGAUCUGACCUGAAGACAUACCCAAGACUGCAUUCGUGACUCGGUACGGUCUGUACGAGUGCACUGUCAUGUCUUUCGGGUUGACAAAUGCCCCACCUUACUUAAUGUACUUCAUGAACAAGGUCUUCAUGGAAUACCUGGAUAAGUUUAUUGUCGUAUUUAUCGAUGACAUAUUGAUCUUCUCCAAGUCCAAAGAAGAGCAUGAGCAACACUUGAGGUUAGUGUUGGAGAAGCUUCGAGAGCACCAACUUUAUGCCAAAUUCAGCAAAUGCCAAUUCUGGCUGAAGGAAGUUUGAUUCUUGGGUCAUACCAUGAUAGCAAGUGGAUUGGCAGUCGAUCCUUCCAAGAUUAUAUGGUAACCAACUGGGAGUUGCCAAUUGAUGUGAAGGAAGACAGGAGCUUCCUCGGACUCGCAGGAUAUUACCGCAAGUUCGUAGGAGGAUUCUCCCACAUCGCUCGACCCAUGACUCAGCUCUUGAAGAAAUACAAGAAGUUCGAAUAGACGCCGGAGUGUGAAGCAAGCUUCCAGGAGUUGAAGAAGAGAUUGACUACAACCCCGAUAUUGGCUACUCCUGAUAUCAGCAAGGAGUUUGUGAUAUAUUGUGAUGCCUCCUGAACCGGGCUCGGUGGAGUCCUAAUGCAAGACGGCAGGGUCGUGGCGUAUUUGUCAUGCCAACUGCGCCCGCAUGAGGAGAAUUAUGCCACCCAUGAUCUCGAGUUGGCAGCAGUAGUGCAUGCCGUGAACACAUGGCGACAUUACCUUCUGGGGAAGCGAUGUGAAAUAUACACCGACCACAAAAGUCUAAAGUAUAUGUUUACUCAGGGGGGAUUGAAUAUGAGGCAGGUAAGAUGGUUAGAGUUAAUCAAAGAUUAUGACCUCAUCAUUCAAUACCACCCUGGUAAGGCCAAUGUGGUGGCCGAUGCCUUAAGCCGGAAGGCCAACACCUUGAAUGUUAUGCUCAAGGAAAGGCUACCCGCCUUGUAUGAAGAAAUGGAAAGCUUCGGGUUGGAGCUAGUUGAACCAGGAUUCCUGGUUAACCUCGAAGUCAAACCAACGUUGGCACACGAUAUCGAGGAGGCGCAGAAGGGGAACAAAAGCAUUGAAGGCAUCAAGAAGAGGAUCCAGGAAGGCAAGGCCCCAGAAUUCUUGGUGGAUGAGCAAGGAGUAGUGUGGUUUGGGAAACAUUUAUGCGUACCCAACAAGGCAGAACUCAAGGACUUGAUCCUGCAGGAAGCACCUGACACACCCUACUAUAUUCACCCCAGUGGUACCAAGAUGUAUCAAGAUCUCCUAGAAAGAUUCUGGUGGCAUGGCAUGAAGAGGGAAAUAGCGUCUUAUGUUGCCAAGUGCGACGUGUGCCAGCGAGUCAAGGCUGAGCAUCAGCGACCUGCUGGACUGCUACAACCUCUCCAAGUUCCUGAAUGGAAGUGGGACACAGUCGGCAUGGACUUCGUCACCGGCUUACCCAGGCCCAGCAGAGGCGAUGACUCUAUUUGGGUCGUUGUCGACCAUCUGACCAAAGUGUCUCACUUCAUCCCGGUCAGUACCACCUAUGGGGGCGACAAGCUGGCUUGCCUGAACAUUGAGCAUAUUGUGAGCCUUCAUGGAGUCCCCAAGGAGAUUGUAUCUUACCAAGGCAUGCAAUUCACCUCAAGAUUCUGGAAGAAGUUUCAAGAAGCCUUCAAAACUAAGCUGUCUUUCAGCACCGCCUUCCACCCACAGACGAGCGGACAGACGGAGAGAGUGAACUAGAUACUCGAGGAUAUGCUCCGUGCUUGUGUCUUGGCUCAUGGUGCCAAAUGGAAAGACUGUCCGCCAUUCGCUGAGUUCUCAUACAACAACAUCUACUAGUACAGUCUCCAGAUGGCCCCAUUCGAAGUGUUGUACGGACGGAAGUGCUGCACCCUGCUCAACUGGUCAGAAACUGGUGAAGGGUUGAUUUUUGGGCCGUAAAUUCUGCAAGAGGCAGAAGAUAAGGUGCAGCUUGUCCGAGAAACCUUGAAGGCAACCAAGUAGCGACAGAAGAGCUAUGCAUAUUCUCACCACAGAGAGGUGGAGUUCGUUCCUGAAGACCAGGUGUACCUCCGUGUCACACCUCUCAAGGGAACCAAGCGUUUCUACGUCAAGGCAAAACUUGCUCCAAGGUUCAUUGGUCCUUUUAAGAUCACGACAAGGCGUGGAGAAGUUGCUUUCCAGUUGGAACUACCUUCGAAACUUUCGGGCAUGCACAACGUCUUCCACAUGUCACAACUUUGGAAGUGUCUCCAAGCGCCAAACCGUCCAUAUCUUUUUAAGGACAUUAACCAUCAGGCCAUCGACCUUCAGCCAUAUCUCACUUAUCGAGAGAGGCCGAUUCGCAUCUUGGAUGAAGCACAACGUUGCCCCAGGAGCCGCACCAUCAAGUAUUUCAAGGUUCAGUGGAGCAACCACACCCAAGCAGAAGCAACAUGGGAGCAUGAAGACUAUCUCCGAUCUGAGUUUCCGCACCUUUUUAGCACCUAGCUUAGGAAUCUCGGGGACGAGAUUCUUGUAAGGGAGAUAGGUCUGUCACACCCUGUUUUCACUAUCACUUCUUUUGUAAUUAAAAAAUCUGAGUUUUUUCUUUUUCAAAAUUAAUGUUGUGAGUGCCAUGGUUGUCAUUGUAUGCUUGUAUGCUUUGUUGUGUGAUAGCAAAAACCAUAUUUCUCAUAACUUAAUUAUUUUCAAACCCUUUUUCUUAAUUCUGGUUAAAUUCAAAACCCUGCUUUGGGUUGCACUACAAGUCUUUGAUGGCAAGAAGUGCUCUUACCCAAAGUUGGUGAUUUGGUUCUAACACCAUUUUAGUACACCAAAACCAUAAGAUAAUUAUUUUAUGAAUUAUUUUCCUAUUUCAUUUGCAUGUCCAUUUGUGAGGCCAGAAAUGAUAUUCCUAUAUGGAAAAAUACUUUUCUGCCUUAGAAAAAUCUGAGAAAAUUUGGAAAUACUGAGAAGGACAUAUAUUUUGCAUACAUAAGAUUUUCAGCCCCUAUUUAUAUUAUAAAUAUUUGAGUAAAACCCUGAAAACCCAUUAUGUCAGUUUUGAUCUUUUGAAAUAUUUCCAAAGGGAAUAUUCUCAAUAAAUUCCUAGAAAAUUCUAGUGGUCUCCCUAAGCCAUAUUUGGUGCCCAUAUAAAGUUUUACCUUGAUCCAAGGUGGUUAAGGUCACCAAAUAAUCCCAAAACCCCUUGUGUCUAGAAUGAAGUUAGAGAAACUCUACAUAGCAAAGUUUAUCCAAUGGAGCUGAAACUUUGCGUGAGUGCCUAAUACCUCAAAUGAGGCCUCCAUGCCAAAAAUGGGAUUUGUGGGACAUGAUUUGCCCACACUCCCUUUGGAAGGAACAUAUCUGGUCAUUUAGGGACGUUUUCAAGUUUACAAAGCUAAACUUGUCCAAUGGAGCUCAAAAUUGGUGUAGCCUCAUAUUUUAGCACCAAACCCAGUCCUGUUAAGUUGCAUAGCCAGUGGUGGGGUGCAACCAUCCCAAACCACUGUUGAGCACCUUCUGACAGAUGGGAAAACCCUAUCCUAACCCCAGCUAAACCCAAUCCCUUUCUCUCAAACUCCCAAAUUAGGUGGCUAGCACUAGUGCCUAACUCCAGUCAAGUGGAUCAUCACUGGUUCAAAGUAGAAAGGCCAAAAUCUCCAAUUUGAGCUUUAGCCCAAGGCUGAUAGCACAUGUUUCUCUUCCCUCCUUUGACCAGCCGAUGCUCCCACGGGAUUCAAACGACCAGGCAUCUCCAAGCCAGUGCCCAGUAAGCGUCAGACACGUCCAAGGCACCCCAGAGCAUGCCAACAUGCCGUGGCAUGCCAAAGUUGCACUCUGUGCGCACUACACAGAGCAACCGAGGUGGGGGCGACCUCCCACGGCCAGAUCAAGCCUCCCCGCGGUGCCUCUCCUCUCCCUUGACAACCCCUCUGCAUCAGGCAUCCCUCAGGGCCCCUCCUUUCCUGCGCUAAGAGACGGUUGGACGCGUGCCCGCACGCACCGAAAGCGGCGAGAGGAGCGCGGCCAUGAAUGAGCACCACUCCUCUCUCCCCCUCUCUCGCAGUGAGUCCCGGAGGUCCAAAACCACAUCCGGAGACGGUGGUUUUGACCCCAGCCUCUUACUACACCCAUUACAAGAAAUAAGGUCAAUUAUGACUCCCUAUAUUGGUCAUUGAUUCGUCAUUGUUAUCGUUUAUUGACUUUUUUUGACCAAAUUUACAAGGUCAACAGUUGACCGUCAAGAAUGAACAAACAUGACCUUUCUAAAAUUUUGGUCAUAUCUCUCUAUCGACCAAAAUUUUGGUUUGGUCAUUACCCAUUUGUGUGAGCCACGUAGGAUCUGACGUGGCAUUGCUAGUGACCAAAUGAAAUCAUCAUAAAUUUUAGAUCCGUGUCCAGAAAAUGUCUGUUUUGUUUGGGUUGAAGCAUUUUUUUGCUAAAAGCACACAUAUCUCACGAUAGGCCCAUUAAAAAUAAGUACAAUAGAAUAAAAGAUUGCAAAUAAAAUGUAUAUUUCAUUUCAGUAACAUAUCUCAUUAAAUACAAUACACCAUCGACCGACUCCACGCAUUAAGGUUCAACGCCUAACAAGGACACAUCAAAAUAAUUUUACAUGUGCACAAUAGAAUACUACUAUAAGUGCAAGUACACAGAAAAAGGACCCAACAAGUGCACAAUCGCACAUAAAGAGAGUUCCACAAAGAUUGGAUGAGAACCCCAAGUUUCUUCUCAUCCUCUUUCUCUGCACAAUAUGCUCUUGCCACUGCCGCAUGCAAGAAGAAAAUGAUGGUAAGGCUUUCAAGACCAAGGAAACUAGUAUAAUUAUACGCACGAUAACCAAUGAUAAAACAGUAGAAAAUUGUUUUCUCAUUCAUCUAGUUAUGACUUAUGAGGUCAUAAAAAGUAUUAUAUAUAUAUAAUUAUUUUACCAUACCCCUUUUUAUGUACUCCCUCCGGUCCUUUUUACUCCGCAUAUUAGACUUGGGUCAAGUCAAACUUUACAAAGUUUGACCAAAUAUAUAUUGAAAAAUAUCAACAUCUACAAUACCAAAUAUACAUAUCAUAUACAUAUCAUGAAACUACCUUUCGUAAUGAAUCUAACAAUAUUAAUUUGGCAUUGUGAAUGUUGAUACAUGUUUCUAUAAAUUUGGUCAAAGUAGAGAUACUUUGAAUUCGGACAAAGCUAAUAUGCAAACUAAAAAGGACCGGAGGGAGUAUAAAUAUGAAUUCGAAAAAUUCGCUAAAACCUAUGAACCUUGCAUAAACCACCAAACAAUGUAGUAUGUAUACUACCUAAGUAGCCUUAUAAGCUACAUAGUAUAGAUGCAUACUCUGCAGUAUGUUAGAUACUACCUAAACUGUAUGGAAAAUAUGUACGUUGGUGUAACUUCAGCCCGUAGUAGAAAAAAGGUUUGAACACAUGGAUGUAACUUCACCCGGUACUGGCUAGAUCCCAUAUAUACAUGGUAGGUUUAAAAUAGCUACACCCCCUAGUAAAACAGUCCAAACUAAUAGUAAAAUAAGCACAAAAUUGCACAGAUUUUGAAAUACAUUGUUUACUACCCAAGUCACUAUUUACUGCAUUGUUCUGGAAUUACUACAUUUGGUACAGGGACCAGCUACUACCAGGGACCAGCUACUACCAAGGCUUCCAGGGACCAGCUACUACCAAGGCUUCCAGACAAGGAAGAAAAUUGUGUCCAUGCUAGAGCAGAUGACCAGGGAAAAGCUAAGUGACGAGCAGAUCAUUGACUUGCUCAUCGCCCUCAUCUACUCUGGAUACGAAACCAUGUCGACGACUUCUAUGAUGGCCAUCAAGUACUUGUCAGACCACACGCAAGCUCUCGAAGAACUCAGGGUAUGUAGUACAGACAUAAUUUGCAAAUUGAUUUUGAUUCCAGAGAAAAAUCCGUGUGUUUCUGUCUGCGAAUCAAUUUUGAAUCCAGAGAAAAGUCCAUGUGUUUCUUCAAUUUAUUGAUGACAUUCUCACUUCUAAAUGCAGAGAGAGCAUCUUGAUAUCAGAAAGGGGAAAUCGCUGGAGGAAGCCAUCAGCUAUGAAGAUUUUAAGUCAAUGGCCUUCACUCGAGCUGUAAGUAGGAGCUAAAAGUAAAACGGAGUAGGAAUUCAGUAUAAACAAGAUCGUAAUGAACUGAUGGAUACUUUUGUGCAGGUCAUCUUUGAGAAACUAAGAUUAGCUACAGUCGUCAAUGGGCUCCUGAGGAAAACAACUCAGGGCGUAGAAAUGAAUGGUGAGAUAUGCUUGGAAAUUAAUCCUACCACCAAUUUAGCAUUUUCUAGGAAAAUGUUAAGUUAGUUCUAAAGCAGUCUUAUUGAUUUCUUCAAGGGUAUGUCAUUCCAAAAGCGUGGAGAAUCUAUGUUUACACGAGGGAGAUAAACUACGGUCCAUUCAUGUAUCCUGACCCAAUGACAUUCAAUCCGUGGAGGUGGCUGGUAAGUAAAAGAGCGAACAAAUAUGACCAUCAAAACAUCACACCAACUAGGGCCUAGCAGAAGAAGUUCUAACCUUUUCUUGCCUACUGAAAAUGUACAGAAGAAGAACAUGGAAUCACACCCGCACUUCAUGUUAUUCGGAGGAGGUGGCCGGAUGGACCGCCUGAAAAUUUUGGGAAAUUUGCGUGCCUGUUAUAGAGAAAGCUAACAAAUAUAUUUUCUAUAUAAGCACAGUAUGUCCUCUGCUCUAUUAAUUAAAAAGAUCCAUGCAUGUGUAGUAUUAUAUGAAAAUGAAUAAAGGGGGUCUUUCUAAUUCUGAAUCACAGUAAAUCAUAUGGUUCUAUCCCAACAACUGUCACCACAUUUUGUACAACGGGGUGAGAAAUAAUCUGAUGAGAUUAUCCAAAUAUGUUAAUGAGAUGAUCCUAAUUCAUCCAGAUUCUCCACGAACUUUGUGAGGAUAGGAGAAGGGACGUACCAGCACUGAUUGCAGGGAUAGAGUGAGGACAUCAUGAACAAAAUUGCACACCGACAUGCAUCAAAAAGAGAUAGACGACAUGAGCUAAAUGAAGUCAACCAUACAUUCUCCAAAUCAGGAAUACUAAAAUAAUCAAUGAUGAUUACUGACCAACGCAUGGCUAUUAUGCCACUGUUGCUGCACUCAAAUGAAUACCAGGUUAAACAAAUCAGUAUCGAUCUACAGUUUGAAGAAAAAUGCAUCAGAAGCAAUGGGCCACCUGGAAAACAUGCCAGAAUAUGCAUGCAUGUUACAGAGAAAACUGAAAACUAUUAUUUCUAUAUAAGUACAGUAUGUUCACUGCUCAAAAUAUAUAACAUACACAUUCAUAAAGCUUUCCAGCAAUUCAAAAUCAUAAAUAUUUCAUUCGUACAUGGAACAGAUUUAUGAACAAAAUAAUCCAUAGAUCAUAGUUCCCAAAUACUAACAGACUGACAUCGGUCCUCAACCAGAACCUAUUAACUAUCUCUGUUUCUAACUCAGAAAACUAUCUCUGUUUCUGCACCACCCCUGGUUGUGAUGCUCGCUAACGCAGGUCGUGGAGAAGUGCAGGCUUGCUCAUCCCUUCCCGUCUCUGCUCUCGCAUUCAACACACGCCAGCGAAUACACAGAGACCUGCUCCGGUUCCGCGGACCACGCCGCAUCUGGCACCAGACGGGCCCGAAAUUUCCACCGCCAUUUUCGCGGAACUGAGAUCAGAGACCACCGCAGGCGUACAGACGGAGCAUCUACCGGACCGACCUAGAGGGGGGUUAGGACGGAGGACUCACAUGGCGUCCUCCUCGGAGAUCCGGCGGUUGAGGGCCCGGGCGACGCGGCGCACCAGCGAGACGACAUCCUGCUCGCCGGCAGCGAGGCCCGGCAUUGCGAGGCGGCGCGGGGAGGGGGCCGGGCUUGGACUGCAUGGUGCGCGGGCUGAUCAGGUGGGUGGGGGAUCGCCGGAUUGGCAUGGGGAGGAGGAGCAGGGAGCCGCCAGAUCCGGCGACACUAAUUUCGGGGCCUGCAGCAGUCGAGGGGCGAGGGGAUCUGGUGAGGGGUGAGGGGAAGGAAGGCUGGCGGCGGGAGGGGAGACGAGGGGGACGGUGUGGAGAUAGGGUUAGGGUUAGAAUUACGGGGAAGGGUCUUUACUUUAUAUCUUAUUCACAU